CUUCUCCCUCCGCGGGGCGCUUCUCCCCGGUCCUCUUGGCCUCGUGUUGGUGUUCGCAGUGAGGCGGCGUGGGUGACGGCGCAACCGCGAUGGCGCAUGGUGGUGGGCGGCGAUCUGGCUGGUCGGCUCCGGUCCGUGGGGCGGUGGGGAUUGGAGUACGGGAGAAAUCCUUGCCGGUCUUCGGCCCCGAUGCGGUGACACUUGCGGGUGCCACCAUUCCUUCCUGGAGGGUGUCGGUGAUAUCCAUCCCCACCUCCUUCCGCGUGCCGGGGAAACCCUAGGACAUGUCCGGGCAGCAGCGUCGUCGGCGUCGCUUUCCUUCUUGGAGGUGUUGUUUUGUACGCGGUGGUCCGGAGCCUCGGGUUGUAGUGGUUUGUGUCUGGUGGGCAUAGCGGUGGCGGGUCAUCCGCGCUCUGUCGAGCUGACGUUGUUGGCAUUUGCUUCUUCUUCUUUUUCUUUUGGGCUUAUUGUGCUGUUCGCCCCAGCGUUCCUGUAUCGGUGUUGGUUGCUUUGGAAUACAAAGCGGGGGGAAAUCCUUUUUCGGUAACGAACUUGUCCAAGGUUUUCCUGUGGUACUUGAAGGCCAUGAAGUUGUACUCAUAGAUCGCCAUAGGGUCGCCCUCCAAGAUGAUCUUUUCACUGAGUUCGAUGAAAAGGUCGAGCUGGUCAUGCAUGAUGAGGCUCUGCGCAGCGAGAGUGACCUCCAGGAAGAACUCCGCAGGCGCAGCUGCAGGGUCAUCAGUGUGCGGAAGAGAUCAUUUCCAUGGAGGCCGGCAAGUUUGCCAGCAGCGGAGACGCAGCGGCGGCUACCUUUAUGGUGGCCUUUAGGGCGGCACGUGGCUUGGAGGCGAGCGGUGAGGUUGUCCACUGUCCUUGUGAAGUCGUCAAGUGUGUCAACCAUGCCAAGCAAGUUGUCCAACGCCACUUUGAGCCAGUCGGCGAAGGUGGCGUCCGAGACGCAACGCGCCGCUGCACCGUCCAGCACCCGCCUGAGGCGUCCCGGAGCGCCAGGCUGCGCAGGGAGCCGCUGGCCACCUGGAGAAGACGAUCGGUGCUCGCAAAAAUCGACUCCAUGUCCAUGGCCGGCCACACUAUCGACUUGAGCGGAUCUUCCACACUAGGUCUUGCUGCCAAGGGAGGAGUAGAUAUAGAGGGGUUAGCAAUCACACACGGUUCUCCAUUUAACAAACAUCAACGUAGAAAUGAUGAUUCAGAGGAAAAAGCAUGGCUAUUUCAGGCAUGAAUUUACAGAAAGAGGCCAAAGUUACAACUUGAUAGAAGCUACUAGUUCAGGUUGUUAAAAUUAUGGCGUCAAAAGGAUGGCUAAUAGCCAACUCCCAAAGCUGUCCGCUGCUGAUUCAGAUUGGAAAAUUAACCAAGAUGAUAAGUGUCAAAUCCGGUGCUGACUUUUUUACAACUAAAGUUGCCAUCCGAAAACUAUGAAGAAGAAAUCAAUGAUUGAUAGGUUCCACUAUGAAGUAUGAUCUAGCAUGAACAUUAAAUUGAAGUAGUAAUAAAGAAGAAAUUUCUGCACAAGAAUAGAACAAGCAAAUCACAUCUGGGAUUAGGGUUCAAGGGGGAUGGGGGCGGAGGGGAUUUCCGGCGGUGAGUGGCGGAGUUCGUGCAGCCGACGUACAGAUGGCGAGCGAGGAGGAUACAUACCGCCGGUGAGGAAAAUGCGCGCGCGGCGGGCGGCCUUCGGCGAUAAGGGGAGGCGGCGGCGGCGGACUGGAGACUGGAGUCCAAUUUGGGUGCGAAUCUCGCCGGUCUUUUUUUCUUUUAGAAAAUGUUAGAUGGGGAACGUCAGAUAUUAGACAUGUCGCAGCGAACUGCCCGACCAGCGUUGGAUCGAAAUCACCAAUCCCAAAGCACCCGCGGCCACCAUUUUUUCGACAAAGGGUGGAUUUUAUUGACUCAAAAUAAAGCAUCAAGUUGAUACAAACAUGAUGAGAACAUACCCGGCCUCUGCAUAACUAAGAUGCACACAGUCAACACUAACGCACACAAAAACCUAAGCAAGAGAAAAACCCGAAGCUAACAAAUCCGCGAUCGACAAACUACAACAAUGACCAUAUGCACACCAACCAUCUCAUGACACCAUAAGGACAACGGGGUUCUUCAACAGCAACGCCUUCAUGAAGGAAGCGAUGCUCGAGCGUCGCCGUCACCGGAUCCAACCACCAAAGGUUGGACUCUAAGUUUUCACCCUGAAGAAUUAGUCUAAGCAUAUAUGAGCAAUGCCUUCAACAAGGGAAUGGACCACUCAUGUCAGACAUAGGUUUUCACCUCGGAGCUCGAGACCGGGUACUCGAAAGCACCACCAUCGAAGUCAAUCAUAUGUUGUCGCCACCGCUUCUCCACGAUCCUAGCAGCUGCUCGCCGCUGUACAACCAUAUCCUCUGCGUCAAGUCGUUGUCCAUCGUUUGCAUCUCGUCGCCGAACGAAACCACCGGAUCUGAAGAGAGUAAUCCCCGCGAAGAUCUUCCGGUGGCCACCGCAAUCCGCAAUGAGGCCGCCGCUAACCGGAGUGAUCAUCACAUGGACCAACACCGUCGGUGGAGCACAUCACCGGUGAGUGCCAUCUGGCCAAAGAGAGCCCUAUCCAGGCCUAUAGACCAAAAGCAUACAUGACCGGAUCUGAAGCACGAAAGACAGAUCUGUCUACCAAGAACCACGGCACCGCAGCCAACCUGGGCACAACACCACGACCAAAAUCCACCGAGACGCCCCUAUGGCCAAAAUCAAAUGCUUAGCAGGAGCACUGCCGCCACAAAGCGUAUGGAUCUGGCCGUCGCGCUGCACCGGCCCCGUGCCUCCGGCACAGCCUCGCCGCCAUGCCGCCAGUAGCCAUCACCACGCCCCACAGGAGGAUGUCGAGAACAGUCGCCGGUCACCGCGACCCAGCCGAGUCCCGACGCGCGCCGACGUGCCGCCCGAAGCUGCCGCCCGACAGAUCGGAGGCUGUCGCGAGAUGGCGCCCCGCCGUUGCUGUCGGCCGCGUGAGCUUUGCCUGCGGUGUCCUCCGGCAGCGGCGCGACGAGGCAUGUAGAAAGGAGAGGCGGUGGCGCUAGCAACCGCAUUCCGCCCGAGUCGCCCAGGGCAAGGCGACGCGGGCGUUCUGUUGUCAACCGGACACGAAGCCGGCGGCUCAUCGGGCGUCAAGCCGUCGGCGAGGACGGCUCGUCGGGUGACUGGACAUGCCCUCCAACACGGGCAUGGCCAGGGGCUACCUACUCACCCUUGCAGUGUCACCAGCCACUGUGCAUAGCAGUUCCAGCGAGCUGUUGCGUAGCCUCCCUGCGCAGCGCCGCCAGCGCUCCGCCGUGCGCGUCGGGGCCAUCCUUCCCUGCGUCGCACCUGGUCGCGCGGGGAGGAGUGUGCUGCUCUCAAGGAUGGCUCGGGGAGGAGGGUCGGACCUGGCCGCUGUAUGUGAACAGUGCAGCUAAGGCAGAACGACACGACGGUCGGCUACUCGGGAACGGAAUCCGCGAAAGAACACCAUGGGCGCCCCCGUGCUUCAGGGGCCGCUCGCCCAUGCGCUGCACGACAGCGAGGGAAGCGGCCACAUCCAUGACGCGGCUCGGAUACGCGACCUGGUCUUCCUGGCGCGAUGCCCAAGAAGGCGCCCACUUCGACUUCCAUGACGCAGCCAACGAGGAUGGCGUCGAAAGCCGACCACAGCGUGUACGUGUCACCCGGCGACGCACACAUGCUCGGCGAUGGAGAAGAAUAAACCACAGCGGAGCUCGACCGGAGACAGGGAAGAAAUAAGAGGCGCUCACAACCUGUUUGUUGAAAUGCUUAUGGAGAAAAAAAGAAGAAAUAAAAAGAAAUGGUAAAAAUAAAUAAUAAACUGUUGAGCCAUUGGCAGGUGGGACCUUCGUCCAACUCAGCAUAUUAUCCAUAUAAGCACGCGAUAUGCGGGCCCUAUCUGUCGGUUUGGCUUCUUUUCAUGGCCAAAUCCGAGCGCUAGUGCUCCGUACUACUGGCUAGGCGCUGAGUUUAUGGUUGUUUUAUGCCCUAACAUAAAUAUGACAUUAAAUUGUUACCCUAGCCUGAAGUGUGGUGCGGAGGUUUUUUUUUGGACCCAACGCUUGAUGGUAUUCGUGGACGGUACGAAAACUUCUCUCCUAGCAAAAUGCCAUGCUGCAGCUAAAUGGUGAAGAUGUGGUAGUACUAAUUUUGAGACGAUUUGGUAGUGUGUAGGGGGAAUUGCAGAACUGAUUUUAGGCGGAGAGCACGGAGGUGGAGAGCCCCAAGCGUAGCUGUUCGCCGCCAACGAGGCAUCGUUGGGCGUCGAGGACUCGCCACAGGAGUCGGAGAGGCGGAGGUCGACGAGGAGCCGCCGCGCGAUUCACCGUCGGCGGCAGGCGGAGGUCGUCCUGGAGGUGGACGAGCCCGUGCCGCUCGCGGCAGAGCUUGUCGUCCCUCUGGCCUGGGGGGCAGACGAGCACGCCCCGCUACGGUUUGAACGCACGACGGAACGCCGAACACGCUCGCGAUACGCAUCAUCGUCGGUGCAUCCUUGGCCUGAUCUUUUCCGAUCCAUCUGCAACAGCCAACCGGCAGCUAUUUCUAAGGAUAAACUGCUGCUGCUAUUUCUGAAGGUUAAAACUGCUGCUGACCCUUGCGCGCGCGCGCGCACACACACACUCAAACGACCAGCAGAAAACCAGAGCAGGUUUCUGUUUCAAUAGUUGCAUUCCACUCUCUCCACGUCCUUCACACGUUCACUACUCGCAUUUAGCUCAAGUCAUUGUAUAAAUUUCUCGGCAGAUGGCAAAUUUAGGGAAUUUUUUACUUGUCACAUGGCAUUUUUAACCAUGGCAACUUUUGUUGGAAUGUAGAAACACUAUUUGUUACAAGUAGGGUACAUGGCAUUUUUUUAGCUACCUAAUUGAAAAAUACAUAGUAACUAUUUAUAAUCCAUGUUUGCCUAGAUGUCUAGUUUUCACCAUUCCACAUGACAAAAUGUUCUACCAGUGGCUGGCUACCUGCCCGUCACUAUUAAACAUGUUAGCAGUGGCCAGAGGUCAGCGACAGGCUCCUAAGAGCCUCGCCCGUCACUGAUGGACUUUUUGUGCCCGUCACUUUUGUGCCUUGCUGCAGUAGUGUAACCUCAUCUCCCAGUCGGAAGGAGUGUUGUCACUACCAACUAUGCAGCGCAGACCUGCUUGUCCACCUUCCUGUCACCUCCCAAUCCCAUGCAACGUUGUCAUGUAAGAAACAUCUACUCAUCGACUUGCUCAUGCAGUGAAGGUAUAUGAUAAACAACCACAACCACAAACACACACAUGAAUAUAGCUAGGUAGCGAGCCCUACCAAAACAAGUGCUUGUUGAUAGCAUAAAAGAUGCCAAUUUAUAAAAGCCAUCUCGACAUGUAGUUAUGUGACGAUCUAAGAUAGGUUUAUGCAGUUGAGGUACAAUCUGUUUUGAGAUCAUGAAAAAGCUUGUCCUUUGACCACCCACCUGUAUGUACCUAGCUCGAUUCACCUGCUUUCUUAUAUGCCAUUUAUGUUGCACACAUUUCUCUCUCUGAUUGAUGCAGCACGCCCUGGUAUAUAUACUCAUAUACAUAGACAUGUUUUCGAGGAAAUGUAUAGAGACAUGCCUUGCCUAGUAUUCAAGUUUGAUAUCUAAAGAGACAUGUUAUCCCUCGUAUAUAUUCAAAUGAUGAACCGUCAGCAAUAUUGAUGCAUAAACUUUAGCUUUAGCCAUAGAAAGAAGCUAGUCGCUUAUAGUUAGUUAGACUAUACUGAUCCUCGAGUCCACAAAGCUAUUCAUUUUGGGAAUACUUUUACUCCAAAUUUCUAAUCUGGUUACCAGUAUUUGAAAAAAGAACUGAUUACAUGUAUGUUUGAAAAGGCAUAAAUACAUAGAUUUGUGUUGGAAAAUACCUCCAUGCAUGAUACAGUAUUGUACAAUGCUACUUUAGUAAAAGUAAUGCACAAGUUAUUGCCAAUCUCCAAAAUAUCAUCCUUUUAAUGACUAGUGGGGUUGAUCAGUAUUGGUGUUUUUUUUCCUCAAAAAAAAGCAUUGGUGUUUUUUUAAAGUAGAAUUCAAGCGGCCAUUUCAUGUGUCUGUUCUCAUUUUCCCCUUCAAGUAUCAUGAAAAUAUAUCGCUGAGGAACAAUCACAUAAAAUAAUAUGAAGUGGUACACUAAAAAUGACUUAAAGCGCUGAAGAAUAAUUGAAUGUAGUGAAGGCUGGGGAUUUGUUUACCCAAGUUCGAGUUGUUGGCAACAACUCUGCAUCUUGAUUUGAGAGGGUGAGCACACUCCCCUGAAGUCACUUACACUACAACUUAAUUGGUCGCUAGGUGUGCGCUCGUUGGGGAAGCGCCGGCUAUGUCCGAUGUGAUUGGGGCGGUGGGAGCUAUCCAUAGAUUGGAAAGUUAAUUGGUCGAAACUGCCCAUCCGUAAAUCUGAUUGGUACUCCUUUAGCUCGGUAGGGAGUAACAAGGUACUCUAAAAUAGCUCAUUCGUACCUUAAUCGCUUGUCAUGAAUCAUCAAAACAGAGCAGUGGGCACUAGGUGAGCUUACAUGUUUAUUCUCAUUUUCCUUCAAAUGCAAACCAUGGAAAUAAAAGUUGGACAAUUGGCCAUUUCCUACACACAAUCGAGUUGAGCAAUGUAUUUAUUUGGUGCAUGCAUCAGUGUGUUCUUACCCCAUCGUGCCCUAUCGUUAUGGGAAAAUCAAACUACAACCUGUUCUCCCUCAGUUUUCAUAUAAUCUAAAUUCCCAAACUAUAAAUUUGUAGCCUGAGUAAUCCAGUAAAAAAUCCAGCUAACCAGUAGAAAUUUUGAUAUAGGACGGGUUGAAGCUAACCAAUUUAUGAAUAUCCCUAAUAAACAUCAUCUAGACUAUCAUCCACUAGAUGAAGUGGGCAAACGGAUCUCUCCAUGGCAUCCUCAUACGCCAAUCCUCUUAUUGGCUGGAGGUGUUCCAUCUGUAUUGUGGCACACACUGCCUUCUUGAAUAGUUCAGCUUUAUUAUGUAUGUCUUCUCUUUCCCAUCAUUCAGAAAAAAAUAGGGAGGGCAUCCCCAAGUUCAUUACUAGAAUGAAAUCGGCAAACAACAGGUCCAACAAGUUAUACGACAACUCACGGUCCGCUGACAAUGAAACUAAAUUUAAAAUAAAACCAAUUACGGCCCCAACAAUUGCAUAUACCAAGAACUAGAAACCGGGCGGCGGUUCCGGCCAGUGGUGCAGCUCUGGUCGUGCGAUCCCGGCAACAGACGUCACCCAUAGGCGUGUUGGAUGACGGAGGAGCUCGAUCUGGUGGUCCAGCCGGGGAUGGGCAUGAAUUUGCCAGCGAAAGCUUGGUUCGGCCUCGUCCAUAAACGUCAAUGGCGGCGCCCGCGAGUGUCCUUACCUCAUUGGAGGCAUCAUGGGGGGAUUCACAUUCCUUGUAUGCCCUGGGGGAAACCCCAGAUUCAGGUUCUCUAGAUCGGAUGAUGGCGAGGUUCCUGCAUCAUCACCCCCAUGGGGGGCAUCAUCUUUGGGGUUGUACAUCGGCUCGAGGGACAAGUGUUUGGCUUGGUGGCUGGGCGCAGGUCUCCAUAUGCUUCUUGUGCCGUGACCAAAGUGGAGCGACGUGCCAUCUACAGUAUUGACGACGACGAGUCUUGGCGGUAACGUGCAGUGGGGUCUGACCGUUUGAUGGGGGUGCGUAGGAGGCUGGUGUUGUCCGUUGUCGUGGUGGCGUCGACAAUAGAAGGGUUUGGCAACAUGAGUACGUUGUUGCUCCCGAAGAUGGGACUGCGGGAGAAGGCGGUGGAGGAUUCUACAUUUUGCGCAUGCGAUGCACGCCGAGGGUGUGAUAGACCGGUUGGUGCUCCCAGCUAGCCGGCGGGUGUCUUGGUGAGGCCAUCGGAUUUCUUGGUGUGCACAACGCGAGGUCAGGGCACAUCAUCAAUCGUGUGGGUAGGGCGCCAGUUUUCGCCAGGAAUACCUCUUUGGAUUGAUCUAUGUAGUUAUUUUGUAAGAGCUUGUUGAAUAAUGCAAUAAAGUUAGCUGUAUGCAUCGCGCGGAGCAGAGACCGGGGGUGAUCCUCAUUCUUGAAAAAAAAGAUGAAAAAAAAACUAAAGCAAACCACAGUUUCAACAUUGCAUACAACAAGAACUAGAGACCAUGGAUUUUUAGCCUUCUUUUAUCAGGCAACUACAUGGAGAUAUAUCUUCUACCCCUUUUCCAGUGUAUGUGUCAUGUCAUAAGCAAAUUAAGAAGGCAUACUAAUCAUCAAGCAAAGUUCAGCAGUGCACAUGUACUCCAGGUAGAGCAUUGCAUAUUUCAGUGAUGGGUUGUAGUGCAUUUGCAUUAUUCCAACCAUUUCGUCUUGGUAUCUAGAGAUGCUAGCUUGGUACAAUGUUUCUUUUGGAUCUAGAAUUCCAUAUCGAAGAACUAUCUGGGUCGAAUGCGUUAAAGCCAUGCUUAACCUUUGUACGCACACAGUGACCUGCUAAAUCUAGGGGUCUGCGGCCUACAAUAUAUGGUCGAAAAUUGCUGUUGGUUUCUUGCCCUCAUGUGCCACCUGUGCCACUGGUGGUCCGCUGGUAACAUGACUUGCAAGCCGUCUAAGAUAGCAUAUCACUUGCAGCUGCGUAUCUUCUACGGGUCCAUCACUCCCAAGAGAGGUGCUAACACCAUCAUCCGUAGUCCAGAUUCCUGUCACCUCCCAAUCCCAUUCCCAUGCAGCGAAGUAAAGGAAUAAACAUCUACUAUCCACCUGUAGCAUGGCCAUGCAGAGACUUGCUCACCACUACCACGCACGUGAAUAUAGCUAGCUAGCCUGGCGAAAACAAGUUCAUGCCAACCGCAUAAACGAACCAAUUUAUAAAGGCUCUCCUGAGACCAGCUGGUAUCUGGGCAUGUAGUUAUGUGGCGGUCCUAGACAUGUGCAUGCUGGUGAGGCCAACUAUGUUUUGAGAACAUCACUAAGUUUCUCCUUGGACCACCUACCUUGUCUGUACCAAUCUUGUAUGCCAGAUUAUGUAUGUACCAGUGUUGAUUUCUUUUACAUGCAAGGCAGGAGCAACACAGAUUUCAUUAAAAAUAGAAAAAUAAAAAACAAAGUGGCCAAUUUAUGCAGAAAACUAGGCCGAAAACCAUACAAUACACGAUUGGUUAAGAGACAAUCGUGCAAAAAAAAAAAAAACCAACCAUGCCGACAUCGCCGACUCAAACUCAAUCACCAACAUGUGCACAACCCGAAGAUGCAUGGGUGAGCUCUUCGGAGAUGCCUUCAAGAAGCAUCGUCGCCUGUAUCCUUCGACCCCUCAUCAAACCAAGGCUUUCGCCCAGAGCCACCCACAGCAGCUCGGACAGACCUUGGGAAAAAGAAGGUGACACCAACAGCCACCACAGCAACCCGCGGACCAACAUGCGGCGGUCUAGUGGAGAGGAGGAACUCUUCGACAACAAAUUCAAAGAAGAAGGACGCCACAACACCAGCGUUGCCGGUAUCCUUCGAUCCUCAUCGAACCAUCACCAAGAGCCCUAAGCCCUAAGCUCCUCCACCUAUCUGAGCCUUGGGGAAGAGACCCAGCCAUUGCCAAUGGAGAGUCAACCGAGGCCACACUGGAUCAACAGGAGCAGACCAAGGAUGUCAAACUUGAGAGCCCGCGGAUCGAGCCGCACAACACCAGAAGACAAGCAGACGCCGAUGAACAACAAAACACAGUUGAGCCCAUCGUCAAGGACGAAAUCCUGUGAAAGGAAGCCCCAGCCGUGCACCACCCCCACGUGCCUCCACCCCGCCGCUCACACAACCAACGACAUCCAAUGCCACCGCCAGGCCACCGCAUGCUGACGAUCCGGAACCAGCAGAUCCAGGCACGAAGCCCCAAAUCCGGCACCACGACGACUUGUGUCCGCCUCCCCAGGGCAUCGGCACGGCCUUGAGCGCCGCCGACGCAAGGCAGGCAUGGGCCUAAAUCCAUGCUCCAUGAAGCCGCACUAGCCAUUGAGCGCCUCGGCGCACCGCUGCCACCGCCUCUCCGCCGUGAAGUCACAGUCGUCGUGCUAAAAGCAAUUGUCGCCUCCCGGCGAGGCUGCAGUCACCGCGCGGCCAACUAGGGCCAGGACCCGACGCGCGCUCCCGCGAAGCACCACCACCGCUCACAAGACUAAGGGCAUGCAGCGCUGCCGCCAGGACGUCUCAUGCUGACGACUCGGAACCAGCAGAUCCAGGCACAAAGCCCCAAAUCCGGCACCAUCGCGACUUGGGUCCGCUUCCCCAGUGCAUCGGCACGACCCUGAAUGUCGCCCCUGCCGCAAGGCAAGCACGGGCCUAAAUCUGCGCCCAUGAAGCCGCAUCAGCCAUCGAGCGCACCGGCACACCGCUACCACCGCCUCUCCAUCGUGAAGCCACAGUCGGCACGCCACAAGCAAUUGUCGCCUCCCCGCGCGGCCGCAGUCACCGCACUGCCAACAAGCGCCACGCCCCUGGAGAGCGACGCGCCCGAGUAGUCUGCUGGAUUCAUGCAUGUGGGUACUAAUGUUAAUUCACCUAUCUUUUUAUAUGCUAUUUAUGUUAGACAAACUGUUUAUGUUACUCAUAAACCCCCUAUUUGACGCAACCCGCCCUAGUAUAUAUAUAUAUACUCAUAUAUAUAAGAGACAUGUUUUUGCUUCGUAUCCAAGUUAUAUGUAAGAGACAUGUUAUAGUACAUACUAGUAUUCAUGUGUCAAAUCGUUGGCAAUGUUAAUAUGAGCCAUAAACUUCAUCUUAGCCAUAGAAAGAAGCUAGUCGCUUACUUAGAUGAUAGUCUCCAUUGUUUCCCCAAGGCUUUUCAUUCUGGACACAGUUUUUGUCCAAAUAUUAUAUCUGACUACGUCUAUUGAAAAAAAUGUAUUACAUAUGUUUGAAAUGGCAUAAAUAUUGAUUGUGUUGAAAAAUACUUCCAUGCCUAUACAAUACUUCCUCCGUUUCCCCCGCAAAAAAAAAAAACUUUCUCCGUCCCAUAAUACAAGAACAUUUAGCUUGAAAAAUAUUGUUAUAUUAUGGGACGGAGGCAGUAGUUUAUAGUGAUAUUGGAAAAAACUAAUGUUCAGUUAUCCCAAUCUCCAAAAUCUCAUCCUUUAAACCACAAGAGGGUUCAUGACGAUUAGAUAUUUUUGUAGAAAAACUGAAGUGGCCUUUUCAAGUGUUUAUCCUCAUUUUUCUCAUUGAAGUGCAAAUCAUUCAAAAAAAUAAGUUGGAUAAUUGGCAAUUCGAUGUGCACCAUGGAGUCCAUGAGUUGAUGAACGGAAUUGUCGCCUCAUCAAGCCAUACAUUCAUAUAUAUGGCAAAUGAAAACUAAGCCCUUUUCUGCCUUCAAUUUUCAUAUAAUCUCAAAUCCCAAACUAUAAAUGUGUGGAAUACACGGCUAGCAAGUGUUUGUUCAAUUUUUCUUCCAUGCACGUGACCCCAACUGCCCGAGUACUGCAGUACGAUUUGAGAUCACGCUCGACUCGCGUGUGCGAUGAUGUGUUACUCCCUAGCGCUUUCCCCUUGCUAGAUGCGGGAUUCACUUCAGGCAUUACACAGAGCUCAUGUCUCUGCCUCCCCCCUCCCCAACCGCACCGCCGCCGACGCAGACCGUCCGUUGUCAUGACUCCCGUAAAACCUCUCACCGAUUGCGCCGCUGCCAACCUAGGGCGACUGACAAGGCGCCUCAUUCACCGCUCCUCACAACCACGCCUAUCUCCUCCCUCAAGAUCGGCCCGGGCUCGUCCUGCCUCGCUCCCACAAGCUGCUCCACCAGCCAUGCUGCAAGUUGAGCUUGCCCUGCCUCUCUCUCCCCCACUGCUCUUGCCAGCCAACGAAUUGGUAUCAGAUUUUUCUUGGUGCAUGAAUUGUCUAUGACAUGUAUGUAUGGCUUUGCAUAUGCUUGUUGUAUGAAUUGGUAUCUUUAGGUCUAUUCGUGAUUGUUGUAGUAUUUUUUUUGUGGUUGUGAUGAUUUUUUUUAAAAAGAAGCUAGAACCCAACCAUAUUUUGCAAGGCAUCGAUGGAUUCAGACAACUAAGAUAGACACAUUACAAGAUAUAGAAUUAGCAUAUACGAUUAAGUCGACUUCUUCUGCAACAACGCCUUGAAGAAGGAAUAACCGCCCUCAUGCCCGCUGUCGGGUGGUAGGUGCGACAUAUGCCAACGGGUGGCUUAUCAUUGUGGGAGUCAGUAAGACAUCGCCGGUGCCUGGAAGCGGGAUAAGGCGAAGACAUGCACGCCGGCGAAUCUUACCCAGGUUCGGGGCUCUCCUAGGAGAUAACACCCCUAGUCCUGCUCUGCGGGGUCUCCGCAUGAUCACUAGAUCAACACAAGGGGCUACAAGAGGCUCCUUGAGCUGUUCGGCUAGAGGAAGAAGAAGGGCAAGGCCAGCUCUCCUCUUCGCUCUAUGUGGUGUCUAAAACUCUAACAGAUCAGCCCUCUGAGAGCUUCUUUCUCUAAGAGCUCCUCCCUUUGCAUGGGUGCCCUGGGGGUUUAUAUAGGCCUACCCCCCAGGGGUACAAUGGUAAUCUGGCUGGACGUAGGCCCAGACCGUCAGCGUCUGUAGUCGCCGGCUUCUCCGCCGGUCGCUGGGGCCCGCCGACUGGUGGGUCCCGCCGGCUGCCGGCCUCUUAGCCGACAGGCUGGGGCCACCGCUUGGGGGUCUUGUCGGCGGCUGGUUACUGUAGCCUCACUCUUGGUGAUGACGGCUUUGACGGGAUAAGCAUGGCUACAGUGCCGCCGCCUGGCGAGCUCUCACUGUAGCCUUACCCCGUCUUGUCUGCUUAAUGGUACACGCAUUUCGAGGGCGAGGGUGGGCCGACUGUUGGGAGUCGGCCUCCCCCCAGGCCGAGUGGGCGAAGCUCGGCCGCCUUCUGAUGUCUCUCUGGCAGAAGGGGCCCGCCGCCUGCAGGCCGUACUGACAGCCUGUCGUGGGGGGCGUCAUGGUCAACAUGGCAACAAUGCCGCGCCGGAUGGGGUGUGCCGCCCUGUACGGCGCACUGUGGCCACGCUUGCUCCGGGAUUCGGGGGUGGCAGGCUUCACUGUAGCCACGCCCCGUCUCAUCGCCGUUAUGGGGGUGCAGACUUUGAGGGUGCGAACCAGGCCGCCUGCUAGGAGCUGGCCUUCUGGUGGCCGGCUGCUAGGAGUCGGCCCUCUUCGCGAGAGCUCUUAGAGCCUUGCCGUCUUCCAGCAGCCGGCCGGCGGGGCAGCCGGCCAGGAGAAGGCGGCCCUGUGUCUUGGAUGUUUGAGGGCUCGGCCAGCCCAAUAAUUCUUGAAGAACCAAGGGGAGUUGGUUAGGCUACCCGUCGUCAUUUACUCCGACAGUAGUCCCCGAAGCUGGUCGGACUUCGCGGCUGAAAGGUGGACGAGAAGUUUGAGCAGCUUCCUAUCUUGGAGAGCCAACAGCUGGGAGCCGGCCUCGAACUGACGCGCCGUCUUGGAAAGGUUUUGGGGCCCGAAGGCGGGAACCGCUGGCGCGCGCGCCAGGUGGCAGACCGGCCGCCCGCCGCCCGCGCGCCACGCGGCACUCUUCGGCCGGACCGGCCCGCCAGCCCACGCGCGCGACGGGACGUCGCCGCAGGCUGGGGCCCGCCACUACCAUGCCUCGGCCCACGCGCGGAUUCGCCGUGGCCGAAGCGGGCGGUUUGCACUCCAGUGGCAGUUUCCGCGCGCUGUUAAGGCGCGAUAAUUGCAGGUCAUGGGGGAGUGGGCGCAGUUAAUCCCACGUCCCCCACGUUUCGCCCCCUCGGCCUUGCCUCGCCGAGGCUAUAAAUAGGGGGAGGAGGGGGAGCGGCAGACGCCUGCACGUUCGCCUCCCGCUUCGCCAUUCUCUUCUUCUUCCUCUCUGUUGCUGCUGCUGCUCGCCGCUGCGCCGUUCCACCGGUCACCUUGCUACGUCGCAGCUUCGCCGCCGCGGGGUCGCGCUCUCGCCGCCACCGCGCUUUAUCCGUCAGCCUUUCGCCUUCAUGGCGUGCGCCGGAGCCUGGGACGGCUCCAACGUCCAUGAAGACCACAUCGACUUCCUCCGCAAGACGCGGCGGCUGCCCGGCGAGGAUUACGUGCGGGUCCGUCUCGCGCCGGAGCGGGAGAUCUCGCCGGCGCCGGAGGAGGGCGAGCGGGUCAUCUUCCGCUCGCACUGCCUGCGUGGCCUUGGCUUGCCGGCGAGCGGCUUCUUCCGCUCCUUCCUUGAAUUCUACAAUCUUCAGCCGCACCACCUCACCCCGAACACGGUGGUGCUGCUAUCCGCCUUCGUCACUCUGUGCGAAGGCUUCCUCGGCGUCCUUCCCACCAUCGAACUUUGGGGGGAGUUCUUCUACUCCAAGCUCGGCACCGUGAUGAAGGGCGUGCCGGCCCAAUGCGGCGCCUUCGUCGCAGUGCGGAGGUUGGCGAACGACAAUCCAUUCCCCUCCAUCGCGUUGAUCCAGUCGGUGAAGAUGUGGCAACGGUCAUACUUCUACGUGAAGAGCAUCUUCCCCCAGGGCGACUGGGUCAACCUGCCGGCUUACGUAGCCGGCGCGCCGGCUGGGAGGCGGCCCAGCUGGUCCUAUCGGGCCAAGUCGCUCUCGCCUUCUGGAGCCGCCACCGUCGCACGGCUCCGGGUGUUGAUCUAGUCGGAGGGCCUGACCGGGCCCGACUUGCUGACCGCCUUCGUGGCGCGCCGGAUGCUCCCGCUCCAGGGCCGCCCUCACAUGAUCUAUCAGAUGAGCGGGCACCUUGAUCCGAGCCGGUUGUGCAUCAAGGAGAUGCCUCACACAGAGGUAGCCCACAUGGUGAACUAUCUUUCGAACUGCAAGCUCACCGAUGAGUGGCAGUUUGGCAAGGAGCCGUAUUCUCGCGCCGAUCCCUCGCCUACGGUAAGCUUUCUUUUCUGUUCUUUUUCUUUUGUUGCCGAGCUCUUCUUGGCCGACUUUGACCAAUCGGCUUGUCUAACAGAGCCCCCUCCUUCGACCGGCAGCCGGCGCCGCGGGGUUGGAGCGCCAAUAUCUCCCCGACCGGACGGUGAGCGAUGAGGACGACCCCGACUUGGGGGCGACCGCCUUGGACGACGACGCCGUGGGAGGAGGCGGCGAAGCAGGCAGCUCGGGGCUCGGAGCCGGCCUCGAGGACUGGCCGGACGACGACGAAGCGGAAGUCGUCCCGCGCCGCCAGCCGGCGUCCGACCAGCAGGGCGCGAGUUCGUCCACCGCACCGGCCGCCCAAGGCGGCGUGCAGAAGCGCCGGGCCGCGCCGCUCCUGUUCAGCAGCCGGUCGAAGAAGCCCAAGAGCUCGGCUGCGGCGACCAAGCGGGACGAAGCGGCCGCGAAGGCUGCCCGCUUCCGCAAGACGGUGAAGCAGCCGCAGAUGGUUUCUGCGUAAGUGUCGAUUCCCUCACGUGUUCCUUUCUUUUUUCUUGAUGAUAUUUCUAUGAAUUUUCUUUGUCUUGGCUUGAAAACAGGGCUCCGCUUUCUCUUGAGCGGACUGCCGCCGCCUCCGUGGUCGUGGCAGCGGGAGGCUCCGCCAGCGCCACCGCGUGGACCCUCGUGCCGAGCUUCAGGCGGCGACGGAGCGGAACGCGCGUGAAGCGCGGGAGGAGCGGGAGGCGAAGCAGCAGAAGGCGGCUGCCGCCAAGGCGGCACAGGAGGCGACGAAGGAGACGGCAAGGGCGCAGGCCGAUGUGGCGGCCAAGGCCCAGGCGGAUGCCGCAGCCGCGGCGCAGGCGGUGGAGGCCUUGCACAACUAGCCUCCGCAACUCGUCAUCCCCCUUCGCUCCGUGGCGCCCGAGAUCCCGGUGGUGCCGCCGGAGGGAGCCGGUGGCGAUCAGCCGGCGAUGGAGAGGGAGGAGGGCGACGUCGUCGUCCUGGAGCAGGAGGCGGCUCCGCCAUCGCCGACUGGGGCGGACCAAGGCGGCCAGCCGAGCGCGCCACCCGUGCCAUCGGCUGGAGGCGAGCCGGCUGCAAGGGCGGACCUCGUGGUCCGGUCUCCGGCACGCCAGCGCGCAGGGAAGGCGACCUCGGCGCCGGACCCGCGGAAGGCCGCAGGCCCCAACUUGUCGGCCCAAGACCUGGAGACGGCGAGCGUCGGCUCGCCGGGGUGGACGCCGGGUGGCGGGACGGCCGUGCUGAACGCGGCAGCGCAAGACGUUCGGACCCGGCUUCAGUCUCAGGCCACCGUGCUGAAGCAGUUCAACCAAGGGUUCCUGGCGACGCGGGCAGCUAUUCGGGUAAGCUUCUCGCUUUUUUGUUUCUUGUUCUUGAAUUCUUUCGUGGGGGCGCGUCAGCGCACCCACUGGGUAUAGUCCCCGAGUUCCGAGCCGGCUGCUGAGCAGGCGGCUUGGAACUUCUUAGUAUACUUCGAGUGCUAACUCGUCCUUAUUUGUUCGUCCGUCCCAUUUGCAGGACUAUCAUAAACUCUGUGCGGCCGCCUUCAACUCCCAUAUCCGGGAGCUGAAUCAGAAGACCGUCGACUUGUCUGAGAGCCGGAGUAAGUGUUUCGUCUUCUAUCUCUCGUGGGGGCGCGUCAGCGCACCCACUGAGUGUAGUCCCCGAGAAUCGGGCCGGCUGCUGAGCAGUCGGGCCGGAUCUUUUCUGGCGACUUCUUUCUUAUUGCUUUUUCUUCUUUGACAUCUCUGCAGAGGCCAAUGCCGACCUGCGACAGCAACUGGGUGAGGCCCAGACCGCCCUGCGCGUCAAGGAGGCUGAAUACAACACCUUGGUUCAGGAGCGCGACCGCCUGGCCAAGAAGCUGGCCGACCAGGAGGAGAGCCACAAGGCGGCCCUGAAGGCGGUGAAGGACAGCGAGGCCGCCCUCCAAGCUGAGUACGAGACCGAGGCGGCGAACUGGGCCGAGUCGAAGCAGGCGCUGAGUGACGGCUAUGGCCAGAUUGAAGACCUGGUUGACGGUAAGCCGCCUUCCUCUUCGUCCCUUUGUUUGCCGCCUGCCGCUUGGUCCGACUUCUGACUUGUGCUUUUUCUUAUUUUCUUUUCUUCUUUGUACAGAGUACUUCCCUGGCUACUCUGUUGCCGCCAGCCAAGUCAUCGAGGCCCACCGCAACGCACAGAGGCAGGCUGGCGUUGAGAUUGUGCCAGAUGCUUGCCGGUCGCUCGAGGAGCAGCUUCUGGACAUCCAAGCCCGCCUUCAGCCGGCUCACCACAUGCUCUGCCGCCUUCAGCGCAUUGGAGCCCAAGUGCUGUCCGCCCUCUGGCCUGGCGAAGUGAUUCCCCGCACCCCCAGUCGGGCUGCCGACUGGCUGGAGGUAGCGGUUGGUUGCUUCGAGGCCUGGAAGGCUUUUGCAACUCGGGCAAGCGCCAGGCGGGCGCUGGAGUUCGUCCGGGCGUGGUAUCCCGGGCUGGACUUGGCCCAGCUAAUCACAUGGCGGCAGGAGGCCAACGAGGAGCUGGAGGCGGUGCGUCCGGCUAUCAUCCAGCGCGCCUCGGCGAUCGCCGAGUACACCGACACCAUUGCCUUUGCCCCGAGCUGAAUAACGACGGCGUUGCUUUGCCGGAGGAGUGGUUUGGGCUGAACCCGGCGGAUGGUGAAGACUUGGCAGAGGAGAUCGACUCUAGUGACGAGGGUGAGGAGGAGGAAGGAGAGGACGGUGAAGACGCCGCGCCGGAUGGUGGGCCGGCCAGCUAGCCUCAGCUUGACCGUGCCUCCAGCAACGAGGCACGUGCGAGCGCGCCGCCUGCCGCUGGUGAUGAUCAAGCCGAGACUCGCCAGCCGGCCACUCCUCCAGCCAGCACCGCCGUCUCCACGGACCUGCCCAACUUGCCCAUUGCACCUUUGGCCUGAACCGCCAUCUUUAUCUUUGCUUUCCUGUUCGUUAUUCUUUGAACAAUAUUUGUUAAAUUUGCGCAGUUCCACCCACUGGGGGUGUAUUCAGACUAAGUUGAAUGCCGGCCCUUCGAAGGCCUUUUGUGUAAAUAUAAUCUUGCAUGUGUUUGACGUCCGACUGUGCUUGCUUUUCAUCUUUUUCGGCUGUUUCCUUUGCCGCCCUCCCUUGGUCGCCGCCUUCCCAGCCGGACAGCUGCUCUGUAGUCUGUGGCUGGAAAAGUGCUUGGCCGUGUGGGAGGGCAAGUACUUUAGCUUUCUCAGAUUGUAGUAAGGUGAGUGGGGAGCCGGCCAGCCGGCUGUUUAACAGUUGGUUGGCAGGGUGGGGAGCCGGCUUGUCUUAUGUAAGCUCGUUGGUCCUUAGCCAUUUUUCGUGUGGGCAUCCUUCCCUGCCUUUGACUCUUGCCAGUCGGACAGUCGAUUCUACGAGCUGUGACUUUUGACAAGAGAGGGCUUGGGUGCCGGCACACUACUUGUCUGACUACAGGUGGAACUUAACAUAAUUCAAGGUGGCAAGUCCCCAGGCCAACUGACCGAACCCGGUGCCGGACAGAAGAACAAAUGUAAUAACACAUUCGUGGGGAGCCGGCUUGUCUUAUGUAAGCUCGUUGGUCCUUAGCCAUUUUUCGUGUGGGCAUCCUUUCCUGCCUUUGACUCUUGCCAGUCGGACAGUCGAUUCUAUGAGCUGCGACUUUCGACAAGAGAGGGCUUGGGUGUCGGCACACUACUUGUCUGACUGCAGGUGGAACUUAACAUAAUUCAAGGUGGCAAAUCCCCGGGCCGACUGAUCGAACCCGGUGCCGGACAGAAGAACAAAUGUAAUAACACAUUCGUAGGUAUGAUACUCAUCAUAUAUAGAUAAAAGAGGGUAGUCCCCGAGUUCUCCUGGGGGGCCCGAUGUCUUGUACUUAAUACAAAAGGUAGCGUGGUACAUACUGCUUUUAACUGUAAAAUCUUCGGAGGAGAUUGGUAUUCCAUGGUCGUUCCGACUCCUUGCCGGAAUCAUCUCUCUUGCGCGCCUUGGGCUUCUGUGCGCCGAUCAGGUAGUAGGAGUCGUUGCCCAAGGCUUUGCUGACGAUGAAGGGGCCUUCCCAAGGGGCCAAGAGCUUGUGCUGGCCGGCUGCUCGCUGGAUCAGCCGGAGCACAAGAUCGCCCUCUUGGAAGGAUCUCGGCUUGACCUUCCGGUUGUGGUAACGGCGCAAGCCCUGCUGGUAGAUGGCGGACCGGCUGAGUGCUAACAGCCGACCCUCUUCCAGCAGGUCAACGCCGUCUUCUCGCGCUUCCUUGGCCUCCGCUUCCGUGUACAUGGUGACCCGAGGUGAGUCGAACUCGAUGUCAGUUGGGAUGACAGCCUCGGCACCAUAUACAAGGAAGAAAGGAGUGAAGCCGGUUGACUUGUUCGGGGUAGUACGCAAGUUCCAGAGGACGGCCGGCAGCUCCUCGAGCCAGCAGCCGGCCGAGCGCUCCAGUGGUACGAUCAGUCGGGGCUUGAUGCCGGACAGGAUGAGGCCGUUUGCUCGCUUGGCUUGGCCGUUUGACUGCGGAUGGGCAACGGACGCUAAGUCCAGUCGGAUGCCUUGUGUCGCGCAGAAGCAUGCCAGUGCUCCUUUGGCAAAAUUCGUGCCGUUGUCGGUGAUGAUGCUGUGUGGUAUGCCAUACCGGGUGGUGAUGUCUGUGAUGAAUGUCACAGCAGUCGGCCCAUUCAGCUUUUUGAUUGGCUUUGCUUCAAUCCACUUGGUGAACUUGUCCACGGCGACAAGCAAGUGUGUCAUGCCGCCGCGUGCUGUCUUGAAUGGGCCCACCAUAUCUAGCCCCCAGACGACAAAAGGCCAGGUGAGGGGGAUGGUCUUGAGUGCGGUAGCCGGCAGGUGUUUCUUAGAGCUGAAAACUUGGCACCCUUUGCAGUGUUUGACUAAUUCUUUGGCGUCUUCCAAAGCAGUCGGCCAGAAGAACCCAUGGCGGAAAGCUUUGGCGACAAGUGAUCUUGAAGCCGCGUGGUGGCCGCACUUGCCUUGGUGGAUGUCCUUGAGGAUUGCAAUGCCCUUCUCUGGUUCGACGCAGCGCUGGAAGACUCCAGUGACACUGCGCCUAACGAGUUCUCUGUUCACUAUUGUGUAUGCUCUGGCUCGACGUUGAACUUGUCUUGCCGAGAUCUCGUCAGUCGGCAGCUCUCUGUUUACCAGAAAAUUGAGGAUGGGCUAGGCCCAUGAUGGAGCUGUGACUUCUUCUAUUGCCAACACGGCCACGGCGACCAGGGUGGGUGGGCUGGGUGGUGAAGGGUUGGAGUCGGCCACCGCCUGUUGUGUCGUUGCAGUCCCCGGGCCGGGUGCGACUAUAGCAGUCCCCGGGCCGCCUGUCGAAGUCCCCGAGCCGCCUGCUGGGUUCCCCAAGUCGGAUCCGACUGCAUCAGGGUCAGGCGGUACGAAGAUGGAAUCUGAUUCUGGAGACGGCUUGAUAGACGGUUUGAGGAGGCGUUGGAGGGAGACGCCGGUUGGUAUAGCUUGCCGGGUGGAGCCGAUUCGUGCCAGGGCAUCUGCUUGCUCGUUGUCGGCCCGUGGCACGUGGAGAAACUCGCACCCUUCAAAGUAUCCGCUGAGUUGCUGAACGAGGAAGUGGUAGCUCGCCAUGUUUGCGUCCUUGGCGUCCCAAUCGCCAGAUGAUUAUUGGAUCACCAAGUCCGAGUCGCCGUAGCACAGGAUCCGGCGGAUGCCAAGUUCUUUGGCCAGCCGGAGCCCAUGUAUGAGCUCUUCGUACUCGGCCACGUUGUUGGAGGUGGCAAAAUGAAUUUGCAAUGUGUAUCUGAGCUUGUCACCCUUGGGAGAGGUGAGGACGAUGCCGGCUCCCAAGCCGGUGCGCAUCUUGGAUCCGUCAAAGUGCAUCCGCCAAUGAGUGGAGUCGGGUGCCGGCGGUAGGUACAGGGUCUCGGCCCAGUCGACAAGGAAGUCGGCCGGUACUUGGGACUUGAUGGCGGUGCGCGGCUGGUAGAAGAUGGUGUAAGGAGCCAGCGCAAUGGCCCACUUGGCCACCCGGCCAGAUGCAUCCCGGCUGCCUAUGAUCUCGGCAAGCGGGGAAGUGCAAACGACCGUGAUGGGGUGCUCUUGAAAGUAGGGCUUGAGCUUCUUGGCGGCAAAGUACACACCAUAGCACAUCUUCUGGUAGUGGGGGUAAUUCUGCUUUGAGGUUGAUAGCACUUCGCUCAAAUAAUACACCGGCCUCUGGACUAGCUGAGCUCGGCCUUCUUCUGGGCGCUGAACCACGACGACAGUGCUGACCACCCGGCUAGUUGCGGCAAUGUAAAGGAGCAUGGGCUCUUUCUCAGUAAGUGCCGCCAGGACAGGCGGCGUGAUCAACAUCUUCUUCAACUUGUGAAAAGCUUCGUCCGCCUGAUCGUUCCAUUCGAAGUGAGUGGAUUUCCUCAUGAGCUGGUACAGGGGGAGAGCCUUCUCGCCUAGCCGACUGAUGAAGCGGUUAAGGGAGGCCAGGCACGCGGUGAACUUUUGGACAUCUCGAAGCUUGGUGGGAAUUUCCAUGCUUUCUAUGGCCUUGAUCUUCACUGGGUUGCACUCGAUGCCGCGUUCAGAGACCAGGAAGCCUAGAAGCUAGCCGGCUGGUACUCCGAACAUGCAUUUCUCAGGGUUGAGCUUGAUCUGAAAUCGAUGUAAGUUGUCAAAUGUUUCUUUGAGAUCUUCCAGCAGGGUGCCGCGCUUCUCCGUCUUCACCACAAUAUCGUCUACAUAGACGUGGGCAUUUCUGCCGAGUUGCUUGAGGAGGCAUUUCUGCAUGCAACGCUGAAAGGUGACACCUGCAUUUCUCAAGCCGAAUGUCAUAGUCAGGUAGCAGAAAGCUCCGAAUGGUGUGAUGAAGGCGGUCUUCAGGCGGUCGGCUGGAUCCAACUUGAUCUGAUGGUAACCUGAGUAGGCAUCCAAGAAACUCAACAGCUCGCAUCCGGCUGUGGAGUCUAUCACUUGAUCGAUCCGAGGCAAGGCAAACGGAUCCUUGGGGCAGGCUUUGUUGAGGCUGGUAUAAUUUAUACACAUGCGCCAUUUCUUGUUUUUCUUCAACACAAGGACCGGGUUGGCAAGCCACUCUGGAAAGAACACCUCCAUAAUGAAGUCGGCUACCAGAAGCCGGGCUAUCUCUUCUCCAACAAUCCUUGUCUUUUCCUCCGACAGUCGGCGAAGGGGCUGCUUGAUUGGUUUUGCAUCUGCUCCGAUAUGUAGCUUGUGCUCGGCGAAAUCCGUCGGGACACCCGGCAUGUCCUUGGGGGACCAUGCAAAGAUAUCCCGAUUCUCACGAAGGAAAUCAACGAGCUCGCCUUCCUAUUUGCUAUCCAGGUUUUCUCCUAUAACAGCAAACCUCUCCGGGUGCUCUGGGUCCAGAGAUAUCUUCUUUGUUUCCUUAGUCGGCUGGAAGGAGCCCUGAGCCUCCGACUCCUUGGGGUUAGGUGAUAGGUACGGCUGCUUGCCGGCUAUGGCCACAACCCGGUCCAGCAUCUUCUUCUCAGCAGCAAUCACGAGGGACUCGGCCAGCCGGCUGCUGGCUGCAGCACAAGAAGAGGAUUUCUUGUAGUCUCCGACUACGGUGAUGAUGCCCUUGGAGCUCGGCAUCUUCAUCUUGAGGUAGGCAUAGUGGGGCACAGCCAUGAAUUUGGCCAGGGCAGGUCGGCCAAGUAAAGCGUGAUAAGGGCUCUCUAGGUUCACCACUUCAAACCAGACUGCUUCACGGCGGAAGUGAUCCUUGUCUCCGAAGAGAACAUCUAUCUUGAUAUUGCCGAUUGGUGCGCAGGACAGGCCGGGUACAAUGCCAUGGAACACGGUCCGACUGGGCAAAAGUUGCUUUGUCUUGAUGUUCAGCUUCUCCAUGGUGUCACGGUACAGGAUGUUGAUGCUGCUCCCACCAUCAAUCAGAACUCAGGAGAAACGAGCGGCUCGCCUUUCUGUCGCGAAGGUGGCAUCUAGCACCAACGCAUAAGAACCCGGAGACGGCAUCACCUCUUGGUGAUCAGGCCGGCUCCAGCUGAUAGGCUUUUCAGACCAAUGCAUAAACUCCGGAUCUUUGGAGGCGACUGCAUUGACUUCUUGGUGCUAUCGGCGCCGGCUGCGCCUGUCCUCAGCUUGGCUCGUGAAGAUGACGUAGGCAGUGUGCUCAUCAGGGAACUCGUCUUGAAUGGCUCCGACUGCUGGGCGAGCGGCCGACUUCUGAGGAGCCAGAGGCGGCUGACCAGCAGGCGGAGGGGGCACCAGCCCCUCGCCCUUGGAGAUUCGUGUGAGCCAAUGGCAUUUCCGAGUUGUGAGGUUGGACGGCUUCGCGCCGCUGUGGAACUUGUAGGGGGCAUCAAGGGUUUGCUCGUAGGAGAAAGCCGGCUGCCAAGCCGGCCUGCCGCCCUUUGGUCGCUUGGGCAAGGGUUGUCUUUCAGGCUGCUUGUCUUCAACUGUGGCCACCUACCGGCUGGUGGAAGGCGGCAUAGGAGCCUUGCGCUUGUUGUCGUUCUGGUGCGGGCGUCGUUUGGAGUCGCCUGCCGGCGUCUUUGGAGCCGGAGGAAGUACCUUUCCAGUGUUGGGAAUCGUAGCAUAAUUUAAAAUUUUCCUACGCUCACCAAGAUGCAUCUAUGGAGUCUACUAGCAACAAGGGGAAAGGAGUGCAUCUACAUACCCUUGUAGAUCACGAGCGGAAGCGUUCCAAUGAACGUGGAUGACGGAGUCGUACUCGCCGUGAUCCAAAUCACCGAUGACCGAGUCCCGAACGUAUGGCACCUCCGCGUUCAACACACGUACGGUGCAGCGACGUCUCCUCCUUCUUGAUCCAGCAAGGGGGAAGGAGAGGUUGAUGGAGAUCCAACAGCACGACGGCGUGGUGGUGGAUGUAGCGGGUCUCGUGCAGGGCUUCGCCGAGUUUCUACGAGAGAGAGAGAGGUGUUGCAGGGGAGGAGGGAGGCGCCCAAGGCUGUUGUGUGCUGCCCUCCCUCCCCNNNNNNNNNNNNNNNNNNNNNNNNNNNNNNNNNNNNNNNNNNNNNNNNNNNNNNNNNNNNNNNNNNNNNNNNNNNNNNNNNNNNNNNNNNNNNNNNNNNNAAUCAAAUAGUGACAUGAUAUGGCCAAUAUCAUUAUGCUCCUUUGAUCUCCAUCUUCGGGGCACCAUGAUCAUCUUUGUCACCGGCAUGACACCAUGAUCUCCAUCAUCAUGAUCUCCAUCAUUGUGUCUUCAUGAAGUCGUCACGCCAACGAUUACUUCUACUUCUAUGGCUAACUCGUUUAGCAACAAGUAAAGUAAUUUACAUGGCGUUAUUCAAUGACACGCAGGUCAUGCAAAAUAAUAAAGACAACUCCUAUGGCUCCUGCCGGUUGUCAUACUCAUCGACAUGCAAGUCGUGAUUCUUAUUACAGGAAUAUGAUCAAUCUCAUACAUCAUAUAUAUCAUUCAUCACAUCUUCUGGCCAUAUCACAUCACAUAGCACUUGCUGCAAAAACAAGUUAGACGUCCUCUAAUUGUUGUUGCAAGUUUUUACGUGGUUUGUAGGUUUCUAGCAAGAACGUUUCUUACCUACGUAUGACCACAACGUGAUUUGCCAAUUUCUAUUUACCCUUCAUAAGGACCCUUUUCAUCGAAUCUGUUCCGACUAAAGUAGGAGAGACAGACACCCGCUAGCCACCUUAUGCAACUAGUGCAUGUCAGUCGGUGGAACCUGUCUCACGUAAGAGUACGUGUAAGGUCGGUCCGGGCCGCUUCAUCCUACAAUGCCGCCGAAACAAGAAAAGACUAGUAGCGGCAAGAAGAAUUGGCAAACUCAACGCCCACAACUACUUUGUGUUCUACUCGUGCAUAGUAACUACGCAUAGACCUGGCUCAUGAUACCACUGUUGGGAAUCGUAGCAUAAUUUAAAAUUUUCCUACGCUCACCAAGAUGCAUCUAUGGAGUCUACUAGCAACGAGGGGAAAGGAGUGGAUCUACAUAACCUUGUAGAUCGCGAGUGGAAGCGUUCCAAUGAACGUGGAUGACGGAGUCGUACUCGCCGUGAUCCAAAUCACCGAUGACCGAGUGCCGAAUGUACGGCACCUCCGCGUUCAACACACGUACGGUGCAGCGACGUCUCCUCCUUCUUGAUCCAGCAAGGGGGAAGGAGAGGUUGAUGGAGAUCCAACAGCACGACGGCGUGGUGGUGGAUGUAGCGGCUCUCCGGCAGGGCUUCGCAAGCUUCUGCGAGAGAGAGAGAGGUGUUGCAUGGGAGGAGGGAGGCGCCCAAGGCUUAGAUGUUGCUGCCCUCCCUUCCCCCACUAUAUAUAGGGCCAAGGGAGAGGGGGGGCGCAGCUUUGCCCCUUCCUCCAAGGAAGGGUGUGGCCAGGGGGGAGUCCUUCCCCCCCAAGGCACCUCGGAGGUGCCUUCCCCCUUUAGGACUCUCCUUUUUUUCUUAUCUCUUGCGCAUGGGCCUCUUGGGGCUGGUGCCCUUGGCCCAUAUAGGCCAAGGCGCACCCCUUAUAGCCCAUGUGGCCCCCCCGGGGCUGGUGGACCCCCUUGGUGGACCCCCGGACCCCUUUCGGCACUCCCGGUACAAUACCGAUAAAGCGCGAAACUUUUCCGGCGACCAAAAUAAGACUUCCCAUAUAUAAAUCUUUACCUCCGGACCAUUCCGGAACCUCUCGUGACGUCCGGGAUCUCAUCCGGGACUCCAAACAACUUUCGGGUUUCCGCAUACAUAUAUCUCUACAACCCUAGCGUCACCGGACCUUAAGUGUGUAGACCCUACGGGUUCGGGAGACAUGCAGACAUGACCGAGACGCCUCUCCGGUCAAUAACCAACAGCGGGAUCUGGAUACCCAUGUUGGCUCCCACAUGUUCCACGAUGAUAUCAUCGGAUGAACCACGGUGUCGAGGAUUCAAUCAAUCCGUAUGCAAUUCCCUUUGUCAAUCGGUAUGUUACUUGCCCGAGAUUCGAUCGUCAGUAUCCCAAUACCUUGUUCAAUCUCGUUACCGGCAAGUCUCUUUACUCAUACCGCAAUGCAUGAUCCCGUGACUAACGCCUUAGUCACAUUGAGCUCAUUAUGAUGAUGCAUUACCGAGUGGGCCCAGAGAUACCUCUCCGUCACACGGAGUGACAAAUCCCAGUCUCGAUCCGUGCCAACCCAACAGACACUUUCGGAGAUACCCGUAAUGCACCUUUAUAGUCACCCAGUUACGUUGUGACGUUUGGCACACCCAAAGCACUCCUACGGUAUCCGGGAGUUGCACGAUCUCAUGGUCUAAGGAAAAGAUACUUGACAUUGGAAAAGCUCUAGCAAACGAAACUACACGAUCUUUUAUGCUAUGCUUAAGUUGGGUCUUGUCCAUCACAUCAUUCUCCUAAUGAUGUGAUCCCGUUAUCAAUGACAUCCAAUGUCCAUAGUCAGGAAACCAUGACUAUCUGUUGAUCAACGAGCUAGUCAACUAGAGGCUUACUAGGGACAGGUUGUGGUCUAUGUAUUCACACAUGUAUUACGAUUUCCGGACAAUACAAUUAUAGCAUGAAUAAUAGACAAUUACCAUGAACAAAGAAAUAUAAUAAUAACCAUUUAUUAUUGCCUCUAGGGCAUAUUUCCAACAGAAUUGUGGGCUGGAAAAGGAGCAAAUAUUAGAGACAUAUUCUGCACAACUCCAAAAGUCCUGAAACUCCACGAAAGUCGGUUUUGGAAUAUAUUAAAAAUAUUGGGCGAAGAAAGCACCAGAGGAGGGCCACCCACUGUCCACGAGGGUGGAGGGCGCGCCCUACCCCCUUGGGCGUGCCCCCUGCCUCGUGGGCCACCUGGAAGCCCCCCGAUGCCCAUCUUCUGGUAUAAGGUGUCUUUUGCCCUGGAAAAAAUCAGAAGGAAGCUUUUGGGACGAAGCGCCGCCGUAUCGAGGCGGAACCAAUCUAGGGCUCCGGCGGAGCUGUUCUGCCGGGGAAACUCCCUCCGGGAGGGGGAAAUCGCCACCAUCGUCAUCACCAUCGAUCCUCUCAUCGGGAGGGGGUCAAUCUCCAUCAACAUCUUCACCAACACCAUCUCCUCUCAAACCCUAGUUCAUCUCUUGUAUCCAAUCUUUGUCUCAAAACCUCAGAUUGGUACCUGUGGGUUGCUAGUAGUGUUGAUUACUCCUUGUAGUUGAUGCUAGUUGGUUUAUUCGGUGGAAGAUUAUAUGUUCAAAUCCUUUAUGCACAUUAAUACCCCUUUGGUUAUGAACAUGAAUAUGAUUUGUGAGUAGUUACGUUUGUUCUUGAGGACAUGGGAGAAGUCUUGUUAUAAGUAGUCAUGUGAAUUUGGUAUUCGUUCGAUAUUUUGAUGAGAUGUAUGUUGUCUUUCCUCUAGUGGUGUUAUGUGAACGUCGACUACAUGACACUUCACCAUUGUUUGGGCCUAGGGGAAGGCAUUGGGAAGUAAUAAGUAGAUGAUGGGUUGCUAGAGUGACAGAAGCUUAAACCCUAGUUUAUGUGUUUCUUCGUAAGGGGCUGAUUUGGAUCCAUAUGUUUCAUGUUAUGGUUAGGUUUACCUUAAUUCUUCUUUCGUAGUUGCGGAUGCUUGCGAGGGGGGUUAAUCAUAAGUGGGAUGCUUGUCCAAGGAAGGGCAGUACCCAAGCACCGGUCCACCCACAUAUCAAAUUAUCAAAGUAACGAACGCGAAUCAUAUGAGCAUGAUGAAAACUAGAUUGACGAUAAUACCCAUGUGUCCUCGGGAGCACUUUCCUUUAUAUAAGAGUUUGUCCAGGCUUGUCCUUUGCUACAAAAGGAUUGGGCCACCUUGCUGCACCUUGUUUACUCUUGUUACUUGUUACCCGUUACGAAUUACCUUAUUACAAAACUAUCUGUUACCGAUAAUUUCAGUGCUUGCAGAGAAUACCUUACUGAAAACUGCUUGUCAUUUCCUUCUACUCCUCGUUGGGUUCGACAUUCUUACUUAUCGAAAGGACUACGAUAGAUCCCCUAUACUUGUGGGUCAUCAUCAACCCCAUACAUGACUUCUCAGUGGCUGACCCUUUUGCAAAAUUGUGAGGUUUCGAAACCGGACUUAGAAGUGGUAAUAUUAGUUUGAACCUCUCUGAUAUCCAUGUUCAGCGGAUUAGCGCGAGUGUUUGCAGCUGAUGAGGUGUUGUGUUGUCAAGCAUGCACUGGAAUCCUCCGGUAUGAACGCCGUGACAAUACGUGACGAUUACAGGCCAGCCGGCCCCCAUUUAUUACAGCGGCCAUUUAACCCUUGUGUCUCUUCAACCUUUCGAUCACGCCCCACCUUGCAAGAAGCACACCCACCACGAGAAAUUCUUUGAGGGUAUCCUGCGCGGCUCCAAUGGCGCUUCGAGUGGCUGCCGACGACGAGCAACAGUUCACCAUGCGUGUCGUGGUGGACACCCACAAAAGGUUCAUGGACCUCUCGAUGGUGUACACCGACGACCCGGUCUGGGUGGAGCACUCCAUCCACAUCAUGGAGCUGUUGCUUGCCGAGGAGAAGUACAAGGUGGUCGGGUUCGACCUCGAGUAUACCCGCUCUCAUGCCGAGUCUCGUCCCAAGGUUACCAUCGCCCAGAUGUGCGUACGCCACCACGUCCUCGUCUACCACUACUGCCUGGCUACAAGGCCUUGUGAGCGGUUUGCCAGGUUUGUCAACAGCCCCACUACAUGUUCGCUGCGGUGGAAAUCACCAAUGAUGUAAAGGCGCUCGAGAAUUCGGGCAUCGCCUGCUAGAAUCUUGUUGACAUCCAGGGCCAAUACAAGAUCCGGGGCAGCAAGGAGCAUGAGAAGGACUCACUGGUUCACCUUGUCGAGGCCAUCAUCGACCCCUACUAUAGAGACAUGAAGGAUUCGUGCAACAAGGACAAGCGUGCCUGGCACUCCGCCUGGAUGGAGAAACUCGACAAAGCUCAUGUCGUGUACGCGGCCAAGGAGGCGUACAUGAGCUACAACAUGUACAGGAGGAUCGUUGACAUGAGGAAGUGCCUCCUUCCCCAAAACGGCCAGGGAUCUAGCCGAAAGCAGGGCAAUGGCAAGCGUCGUCGCAAAAAUAAGUAGAUGAUUAGAUCCUCGUUUCUCUUAGUUUAGUAUGCAUGUAAUUGCUUACUUUGGUGUGUGGAAAUGUUAUGUGUGUAGUCACUUGUGUAAUUGUAUGCUUAAUUUGGUUAUGCAAUGCUGUCUUUUUAACUAUAUAUGUUGAUGCUCUGUAGAUAGAGCGUAGAUGUUGUGCGGACAAAGAAAAUCACAUCGCACACGGACUAAACAAUGGAACCCGUCGGUGAUGUUUUCAUCAAUCACUCACAAUUGUAUACCAGCAAUUGUUUGCUCACAACACACACGGCUUGUUAGCAGCAAUCGUCUGUGUUGUUAUCGGUCUUCGCACACGUUUCCGAUUACAGACCUGUUUGCCGUGUAUCACACACAUCUUGUUAAGUUGAACCCUUUCUAUUCUCUUGUCUCAACGCAAACAGUUCAUCCGAGUGAACCGCAUGCUGUAUAUCGCACACACCUUGAUCUAGCUGACCGUUUCUUUUGUGUUGCCUAAUCACAAACAGUUCAUCCGAGUGAACCGUAUGCUGUAUAUCACACACACCUUCAUCUGGCUGCCCGUUUCUUUUGUUCCUCCUCAUCGCAAACAGUUAAUUGAACUGAACCGUGUGCCCUGCAUCGCACACGCAACUAAAAUCUGAACCGUGUUUGAUGCAUUCUCCAUCGCAAACGUUUUGCACAUUUUUUGACGUUUUUUUACACCACCGUUUGCGAUUAUUGCAUCGCACACAGUUUCGUCAAAGGGUCUGUGAUCGUAGUGUCGCGUUAGCAGCAUCCUGCAGUAGUGAUCCAUAAAUUUUUAGCAAGCGAAGAUGCAAGCAAAAAGAAGGCACAUGGUAACAAAAGAUCAAAUGGAAGAAGGGCGAAUAAAAAGGAAAAUCUUUUUGUGUUUUUCUGAAAAUCAUUUUAGAAGUGGGGGAGAGGAAAACGAGAGGCAAAUGGCGAAUAAUGUAAUGCAAGAGAUGAGAGUUUUAUAAUGGGUACUUGGUAUGUCUUGACUUGGCAUAGAUCUCCCCGGCAACAGCGCCAGAAAUUCUUCCUUCUAUUUCUUGAGCUUGCAUUGGUUUUUCCCUUGAAGAGGAAAGGGUGAUACAGCAAAGUAGAGAUAAGUAUUUUACUCGGUUUGAGAACCAAGGUAUCAAUCCAGUAGGAGACAACGUACAAAUCACCAAGACCUGCACAAACAAUCAAACAACUUGCACCCAACGCGAUAAAGUGGUUGUCAAUCCCAUCACGGUUACUUGCAAAAGUGAGAUCUGAUAGAGAUAUAUAAACAGUAAAGUAAAUAUUUUUGGUAUUUUUGGUUUAUAGAUCGGAAAGUAAAAGAUUGCAAAAAUAGUAGAUCGGAAACUAAUAUGAUGGAAAAUAGACCCGGGGGCCAUAGGUUUCACUAGAGGCUUCACUCAAGAUAGCAAAUAAUACGGUGGGUGAACAAAUUAUUGCCGAUCAAUUGAUAGAAAAGCGCAAAGUUAUGACGAUAUCUAAGGCAAUGAUCAUGAAUAUAGGCAUCACGUCCGUGUCAAGUAGACCGAAACGAUUCUGCAUCUACUACUAUUACUCCACACAUCGACUGACUCCUGCCUGCAUCUAGAGUAUUAAGUUCAUGAAGAACAGAGUAACGCAUUACGUAAGAUGACAUGAUGUAGAGGAAUAAACUCAAGCAAUAUGAUGUAAAACCCAACUUUUUAUCCUCGAUGGCAACAAUACAAUACGUGCCUUGCUACCCCUACUGUCACUGGGAAAGGACACUGCAAGAUUGAACCCAAAGCUAAGCACUUCUCCCAUUGCAAGAAAAACCAAUCUAGUUGGCCAAACUAAGCCGAUAGUUCGAAGAGAAUUACAAAGAUAUCAAAUCAUGCAGAAAAGAAUUCAGAGAAAAUUCAAUUAAUAUUCAUAGAUAAGCUGAUCGUAAAUCCACAAUUCAUCGGAUCUCAGCAAACACACCACAGAAAAGUAUUACAUCGAAUAGAUCUCCAAGAACAUCGAGGAGAACAUGGUAUUGAUAAUCAAAGAGAGAGAAGAAGCCAUCUAGCUACUAGCUAUGGACCCGUAGGUCUGUGGUAAACUACUCACGCUUCAUCGGAAGGGCAAUAGAGCUGAUGUAGAAGCCAUCCGUGAUCGAAUCCCCCUCCGGCAGGGUGCCGGAAAAGGUCCCUAGAUGGGAUCUCAUGGGUACAGAAGGUUGCGGCGGUGGAAAAGUGUUUCUGUGGAUGCCUCUGAUGGUUUGGGGAUAUUUGGAAAUAUAUAGGUGAAAGAAUUAGGUCAGGAGAGUCACGGGGGCCCACAAGGGUGGGGGCGCGCCCUACCCCCUGGGCGCGCCCUCCGUCCUUGUGGCAGCCUCGUGGCUCCUCCGAAUUCAUCUUCAAGUCUCCUGGUUGUCUUCUGGUCCAAGAAAAAUCAUCGCGAAGGUUUCAUUCCGUUUGGUAUUCCUUUUCAGCGAAACUCAAAAACAAGGAAAAAACAAAAACUGGCACUGGGCUCUAGGUGAAUAGGUUAGUCCCAAAAAUAAUAUAAAAUAGCAUAUUAAUGCAUAUAAAACAUCCAAAACAGAUAAUAUAAUAGCAUGGAACAAUCAAAAAUUAUAGAUACAUUGGAGACGUAUCAUCUCCCUAAUGGAGAUUUGCCAGCUCCUUGACGACCUCAGUCAUGCUGGUGAAGACACUGAUCUGCUCUUCCAUCAGGCUGCCCCACUUCCUCUUCCUAUCGACCAUAGGGACAUGCUCAAAUGGCUUGUCAGGGCCAUCAAGGACUGCCUCUACGUGUGUGGUGCCUGGGAACACCGGCAUGGAAGAACCAAAAGGCUUGCCGGAGCCCAUGGCAUGCUUGCCGGUUGCCAGCCCGAAGGAGAAGAUAUGUUGCAUCUGGUUGUAGUUCUGGAUGGGUGUGUUGAGGAACUCUGCGUCUUUGGAUGGUCGUAAGAAAGAAGCACAAGCGUUAUUAGUUGCGAGUAGGCAAUGUAGUCAAUGUGAAAAACCAGGGGACAGUGAGCUAACUGUGACAUGGCCGGUGUAGUGCUCUGCCUCCAGAAUGAUCGAGCAAGUUUUCUGAUCCCAUGAGGCGCUGCUAAGGUCUCUGAGCUUGGACACUUGGAUCCGUCGAGCUCUCUGAGGGAGUCCUGGAUUAGGGGGUCCUCGGAAAGCCGGACUAUAUCCUUUGGCCGGACUGUUGGACUAUAAAGAUAAAAGAUUGAAGACUUCAUCCGGUGUCCGGAUGGGACUCUCCUUGGCGUGGAAGGCAAGCUUGGCAAUACGGAAAUGUAGAUCUCCUCCCUUGUAACCGACUCUGUGUAACCCUAGCCCCCUCCGGUGUCUAUAUAAACCGGAGGGUUUAGUCCGUAGGACAACAACAAUCAUACCAUAGGCUAGCUUCUAGGGUUUAGUCUCUACGAUCUCGUGGUAGAUCAACUCUUGUAAUACUCAUAUCAUCAAGAUCAAUCAAGCAGGAAGUAGGGUAUUACCUCCAUCGAGAGGGCCCGAACCUGGGUAAACAUUGUGUCCCCCACCUCCUGUUACCAUUCGCCUUAGACGCACAGUUCGGGACCCCCUACCCGAGAUCCACCGGUUUUGACACCGACAUUGGUGCUUUCAUUGGGAGUUCCACUGUGUCGUCACCAUAAGGCUUGAUGGCUCCUUCGAUCAUCGGCAAUGAUGCGAUCUAGGGUGAGGUUUUCCUCCCCAGGCAGAUCUUUGUAUUCGGUGGUUUCGUACUGCGGGCCAAUUCGCUUGGCCAUCUGGAGCAUAUCGAAAGCUACGCCCCUGGCCAUCAGGUCAGAUUUGGAAACUUGAACUAUACUGCCGACAUCCGCGGGGACUUGAUCUUCGACGGAUUCGAGCCCAUGUCAGGUGCGCCGCACAAUCACGACGAGCAUAAUUUAGCUCUGCCGUCGGACAGUGUUCGGAAGAUCACACCUGCAGCCACUCCGGCCCUCAAUCCGAAACAAAUUGCGCCAUCUGAGGACGGGUGGAUGGACCCCGCCUCAGAGGCCGCACACUCGGUGGCGAUAGAGCCGAAUACUAAGUUCACCUCCUAUGAGACCUGUAUUGCCGAACCGUUGGAUUCGUCCCCGGCCCCGGACUCCGAGCCGCCUGCGUCCGUGCCCAUCAAAUCCGAUUGGGCACCGAUCAUGGAGUUUACCUCCGCGGAUAUCUUUCAGCACUCGCCUUUUGGCGACGUAUAAACUCAUUGAAGUCUCUCUCCUUGUCAGGAGACCAUUGGCCGAACUAUGUCCGGCUAGAAUGGGAUGCGGACGACGAAGAAAUUCGCGCCCCACCCACCACCCACUUAGUAGCCACUGUCGACGAUUUAACCGACAUGCUCGACUUCGGCUCCGAAGACAUCGACGGUAUGGACGACGAUGCAGGAGACGAACAAGAACCACCGCCCACAGGGCGCUGGACUGCCACGUCAUCGUAUGACAUAUACAUGGUGGACACCCCCAAAGAAGGGGAUGGCGAUAAGACAACGGAGGAUAAUCCCUCCAAGAAGCAACCCAAGCACCGACGUCAGCGGCGCCGCUCUAAGUCCCUCCAUAGUAAAAGCAGCGAUACCGGCACAAGAGACAAUAACGCUCCGGAUAGGGCCGAAGACGACGAUAAUCCCCUCCAGCCAAACCUCGAGCGGGAGGAUGAACAAGCUAGCCCUCCGGAACACGCAGCAAACGGAGAAUCAGUGGAUGACAAUUACAUGCCUCUCUCCGAAGACGAAGUGAUCCUCGGCGACGAAGAAUUUGUCGUGCCUGAGGAUCCCGUCGAGCAAGAGCGCUUCAAGCGCCGGCUUAUAGCCACAGCAAACAGCCUGAAGAAAAAGCAACAACAGCUUCGAGCUGAUCAAGAUCUGCUAGCGGAUAGAUGGACUGAAGUCCUGGCAGCCGAGGAAUACGAACUCGAGCGCCCAACCAAGAGUUACCCAAAGCGCAGGUUGCUACCUCGACUCGAGGAGGAAGCAUUAAAACCUACAUCACCAGCGUAUGAUGCGGCAGAUCGGCCACCUCGUGGCCGAGACAGAGAGGCAUAUCAGCCCGAAGUUCAGCCCGCACCCCGCCACCACUCAAACAAAAAUACCAAGGCCCGGGGCAACAUGCAGGACCUGCGAGACGUAUUGGAAAAGAAGGCAAAACAUGCAAGAUCGAUCUACGGAUCACGGGGGCGCGCACCAACGCGGGACGAUGACCGUCACGCCGGAUAUACUAAAAGCAAAUCCGGCCGGGCCGAAUAUAGCAGACAAGACUCAUAUGAACUGCAUCGUGAUAUAGCCCGGCACAGAGGCGCCGCACUCCCCCUAUGCUUCACAGAUGAAGUAAUGGAUCACGAAUUCCCAGAAGGGUUUAAACCCGUAAACAUUGAAUCAUAUGAUGGUACUACAGACCCCGCGGUAUGGAUAGAAGACUUCUUCCUCCACAUUCACAUGGCCCGCGGGGAUGACCUACAUGCCAUCAAGUAUCUCCCGCUAAAACUCAAAGGGCCGGCCCGGCAUUGGCUUAAUAGCUUGCCGGCAAACUCCAUCGGUGUUGGGGAACGUAGCAGAAAUUCAAAAUUUUCCUACGUGUCACCAAGAUCAAUCUAGGAGAUGCUAGCAACGAGAGGGGAGGAGUGCAUCUACAUACCCUUGUAGAUCGCGAGCGGAAGCGUUCAAGAGAACGGGGUUGAUGGAAUUGUACUCGUCAUGAUCCAAAUCACCGAUGAUCCUAGCGCCGAACGGACGGCACCUCCGCGUUCAACACACGUACGGAGCAGGGACGUCUCCUCCUUCUUGAUCUAGCAAGGGGGGAGGAGAAGUUGAUGGAGAUCCAGCAGCACGACGGCAUGGUGGUGGAAGUAGCGGGAUCCCGGCAGGGCUUCGCCAAGCGCAAGCGGGGAGGAAGAGGUGUCAUGGGAGGGAGGGAGGCGCCAGGGCUUGGGGUGCUGCUCCCAUGCGCCUCGCCACUAUAUAUAGGGGUGGAGGGGGCUGGUUUCUUGCCCUCCAAGUCCAUUGGGGCGUUGGCAAAGGUGGGGGAAAGAAAUCCCAUCAUUUCCCUUCCCCACCGAUUGUUAUCCCCCUUUUUUAGGGAUCUUGAUCUUAUCCCUUCGGGAUAUGAUCUUAUUCCUUCUAAGGUGGGAUCUUAGUGCGCCUUGACCAGGGGUGUGAGGCCUUGCCCCCACUACCCACGUUCAUGUGGGUCCCCCCAUGCAGGUGGGCCCCACUUCGGAACCUUCUAGAACCUUCCCGGUACCAUACCGAAAAAUCCCGAACAUUUUCCGGUGGCCAAAAUAGGACUUCCCAUAUAUAAAUAUUUACCUCCGGACCAUUCCGGAACUCCUCGUGACGUCCGGGAUCUCAUCCGGGACUCCGAACGACUUUCGGAUUUCCGCAUACUAAUAUCUCUACAACCCUAGCGUCACCGAACCUUAAGUGUGUAGACCCUACGGGUUCGGGAGACAUGCAGACAUGACCGAGAUGACUCUCCGGUCAAUAACCAACAGCGGGAUCUGGAUACCCAUGUUGGCUCCCACAUGUUCCACGGUGAUCUCAUCGGAUGAACCACGAUGUCGAGGAUUCAAUCAAUCCCGUAUACAAUUCCCUUUGUCAAUCGGUACGUUACUUGCCCGAGAUUCGAUCGUCGGUAUCCCAAUACCUUGUUCAAUCUCGUUACCGGCAAGUCACUUUACUCGUUCCGUAACGCAUGAUCCCGUGGCUAACUCCUUAGUCACAUUGAGCUCAUUAUGAUGAUGCAUUACCGAGUGGGCCCAGAGAUACCUCUCCGUCAUACGGAGUGACAAAUCCCAGUCUCGAUUCGUGCCAACCCAACAGACACUUUCGGAGAUACCUGUAGUGCACCUGUAUAGCCACCCAGUUACGUUGUGACGUUUGGUACACCCAAAGCAUUCCUACGGUAUCCGGGAGUUGCACAAUCUCAUGGUCUAAGGAAAUGAUACUUGACAUUAGAAAAGCUCUAGCAAACGAACUACACGAUCUUGUGCUAUGCUUAGGAUUGGGUCUUGUCCAUCACAUCAUUCUCCUAAUGAUGUGAUCCCGUUAUCAAUGACAUCCAAUGUCCAUGGUCAGGAAACCAUAACCAUCUAUUGAUCAACGAGCUAGUCAACUAGAGGCUUACUAGGGACAUGUUGUGGUCUAUGUAUUCACACAUGUAUUACGGUUUCCAGUUAAUACAAUUAUAGCAUGAACAAUAGACAAUUAUCAUGAACAAGGAAAUAUAAUAAUUACCAUUUUAUUAUUGCCUCUAGGGCAUAUUUCCAACAAUCGGAAGCUGGGAGAGCCUGGCAGAUGCAUUCCUAGACAAUUUCUAAGGCACUUAUGUGCGACCGCCGGAUGCUGACGAUUUAAGUCAUAUGACUCAGCAGCCAGGGGAAUCGGCCAGGAAAUUCUGGACCCGGUUCCUAACUAAGAAGAACCAAAUCGUCGACUGUCCGGAUGCAGAAGCCUUAGCGGCAUUUAAGCAUAAUAUCCGCGACGAAUGGCUCGCCCGACACCUCGGCCAAGAGAAGCCAAAAUCAAUGGCAGCCCUCACAACACUGAUGACCCGCUUUUGCACUGGCGAAGAUAGCUAGUUGGCUCGUAGUACCAAUACAGCAAGCAAACCUGGCACAUCAAAGGCCAGGGAUAGCAACGGCGAACCACAACGCAUCAAAUACAAGCGCCGCAAAUAUGGUGAAAACGCCAAAGAUACGGCAGUCAAUGCCGGGUUCAGGGGCUCAAAGUCCGGUUAGAGAAAGGGGCCACUCAAGAAUAAUAAUUCGGGUCCUUCCAGUUUGGACCGCAUACUCGAUCGCCAAUGCCAAAUCCAUGGCACCCCAGGAGUGCCAGCCACCCAUACCAACAGAGAAUGCUGGGACUUCAAACAAGCCAGCAGGGCAGGCGCCAAAGACGGAGAAGGGGGGCCUCAAAGCGAUGAUGGCGACGAAGAGCCCAGAUCACCGAACACAUGAGGGCAAAAGAAAUUCCCCCCGCACAUUCAAUCGGCGAACAUGGUAAAUACCACCCAAAUUACCAACUCGGACCGGAUACGCACCCUUAGGGAUGCCGACUUAACGGAACUAGUCGUCCCACGAUAUAAACUAGGGCCGGUCACCUUCAACCGCAGGGAUCGUCCGGUUAACGCCAAUCAUGGCAAUCCAACCGCACUAGUCCUCGACCCGAUAAUAGACGGGUUCCACCUCACUCGAGUCCUUAUGGACGGAGGCAGCAGUCUAAAUCUGCUUUACCAGGACACAGUGCGCAAGAUGGGCAUCGAUCAUUCGGCGAUCAAACCCACUAAAGCCACUUUCAGAGGCAUUAUACCAGGAGUGGAAGCCAGCUGUACAGGCUCCAUCGCCCUUGAGGUAGUCUUCGGAUCACCAGAAAAUUACCGUACCGAAGAGUUGGUCUUCGAAAUCGUCCCUUUCCGCAGUGAUUAUCAGGCACUGCUCGGACGAACCGUGUUCGCUCGAUUCAACGCGGUGCCACAUUAUGCCUACCGUAAGCUCAAGAUGCCUGGUCCACGCGGCGUCAUCACGGUCAAUGUCAAGGCCAAACCUUCCCCCGGCACAAACAAAUACACCACUGCUUUAGCAGCAGAAGCAACGAGCAGCACCUUGCAGCCGAACCUCGAGUCAACGUCCAGGCUCCCGGACACCGUCAAGGGACUCCGAACUGCUUCGCAGAAGGAUAGCCCGGCUCGUCCAAAGCUUAAUUAAACACUCCGGCGAAGGCCAGGACAGGCCGAACUCAGCGGCUCAACCGCUCUUCGGCACGCAAAUAUUUCUUGCAUUUCCUUCGCAGGUUCACCUUUGCGCCGACUAGGACGGACUAUACGGAGGCAGCGUGAACGCGCAAGGGAAUCCUUAGAUAUUCCCUGCAAUGACCAUCCGGCUAUAUUACGGAUCCGCACUCAGCUUCUUCCCCCCUGGUCUCAGCAGGUUCCGCCAUCAUAUUCCCUUUUUAUCACAUUACUUGUACUCAUACGCAUAGACGUACUAUUAAAUACAACAUGUGGAUUUAUAUCACGUUUACCUGCCGUUAUUUCUUAUUGAAAUUCUUAUGUCAAGUGGCAUCCGUACACAACGAUCUGCCUUAAAAUAUGCCAGGGGCUUCGUUUUACCCAUAAUACGGCAAUAAAGUCCGAACACCUUCAUGGAAGUUCGGCACCCCGAACCUAUAGCAUUAUAUGCAUCAGCUCCGAAUCAUAUCUUGGGUCAAGAGUUGGAUUUGCCCGGCUCCCACGUUUUGGUACCUUACGUUCCGCUAUAUCGGCUAAGGUAGCACUGGGAGAACUACUGCGAUUGUGUCCCGGUUCUUCCGGACGAGCACCUCAGUAGAGAAAGCCCAAAACUGACUGUCAUGAUACGGCGAGAGCUGGUCAGCUGUUCGAGAGGUCACAAAAUCUUUAAGGAUUUCUCCCGCAUAAUGCCAUAACCAAUGCAGCGUGCGAUGGAUCAGUUUUUCCCGAUCAGGUGCUUAUAGAGCCCCUAGUACGGUCUUUCGAACACCAGGGGCUGCGCCUACCAUACUAAAGCUCCUAUGGCUAAGUGAGAGUGAUAAAGCCCUAUAGUCUGAUUGUCUGGUUCAUUGUGCUGAGCGCCUCCUUCGAAGGACCCAAAACUGGGAUAAAGAGUGCUCAGGUUUAUCCCGAACACCCCCGUACUUCUUACGUGGGGCAGAAGCCGACGACUGGCCAACUCUCAGGUUUAACAUAUAAAACGGCCGCACAGGAGGGUAAACUUUUAUAUGACAAGCAACAAAUCAAUGACCUUGUUCAAACAUUACAAAGGACAACAUGAUGUGCAUUCAUGGGAAUAUAAUGUCCUUGGUACAUAGCUCCGCUGUAAGGUAGGAUCCUUUCCGGACACUCUCAUAAUACAAUUCGGGCUUGCGGUGCUCCUUUCCCUCUGGCGGCCCUUCGGUCAUCAGCUUCUCAGCAUCCAUCUUCCCCCAGUGCACCUUUGCGCGGGUGAAGGCCAUUCGCGCACCUUCUAUACAGACCGACCGCUUGAUGACGUCAAGUCGAGGGCAAGCACUUACAAGUCGCUUCACGAGCCCGAAGUAGCUGCUUGGAAUCGGCUCAGCAGGCCAUAGCCGGAUAACCAAAUCUUUCAUGGCUAGUUCUGCCGCCUUAUGCAGUUCGAUCAGCUGUUUCAGUUGAUCGGCAAAAGGCACCAGAUAAUUCGGUGCCAAAUACUGCGACCAGAAGAGCUUAUCUGCGGUGUUCCUUUCUUCGGCUCAGUAGAAUUGGGCGGCAUCUGAUAUGCUGCGGGGUAGCUCGGCAAAUACCCCUGAGAAAUCUGGAUUAAAAAUUAUAAAUAUAGUUUUCCCCUCAAAUACUUGCUUUACAUGGAAAAAGCCUUACCGCCGCGAUCUUCCUCGCCUCUUGGAUCCCCUGCAGGGCGCUUUGGGUUUCCCCCCGGGCAUCGCUCGCGGCCUGAUGCGCCUGGGUGAGUUCGGAUUCCUUCUCCGUUAAACUCUGCUCCAAGGUCUCGCACUUCCUCACAGCCUCUUGCAGCUCCUGCUCAGCUUUAAUAACCCUGGCCUCGUGCUUCUCACGAAGAGCCUGCUCUGUGGCCGCCUUUUCCUCGGCCUCGGCUUUUUUAAGGGCCUCGACUUCGGUCACAAUCCCUAGCACAAAUCAUGAAGCUUAUUUCAUACUGAAAAUUCAUUCGCAAUAAACGCGAGCAAGGCUUGUGCAUACCUUGUUUAUCUCUCGACUGCAUUCUCAAUUGGCCAAGUUCUUCUUUGGCUCGCUCCAGACUUUGAUUCAGUCUGGAGAUCUCCGCAGUACGAGAGGCAGCAGCCGCUACAGGCGCCUGCUUAUAACAGAAGAGAAAUCAAUAUCAUUCAAUGAGUCUUCCUGCGAUCAUAAAUUCGAUCCCCUGUCCGGUUCUUUCUUUCACCGAACAGUGUAUCAGGGGCUACUAUCUAUACUAUGACACUCUUCGAAAACUCAUAAACAUACCUCAAAGCCUCUUAUAAGGCUGGUAAGGCUUCGUUCAGUCCACUCUCAGUUGACUGAAUCUUCUCAAUCACCGCACCCAUAAGGGCACGGUGUUCAUCGACGAUGGAGGCGUUCUUCAACGCCACCAACAAAGCACCCGACACCUCUGGUUGGACAGAGGUCGCCGAUGGAACAGGCACGCACCCUCCAGCUGAGGGAGGCUGCCUGCUUGAUUCUGGAGCCGUAUAGAUCUCCGGAAUCACAUCCGGCUGGGAGCCGAACUCAGGAUGGCCCCCGCCGUCAGCUCCCAUGGGAAUCUUUUCCCCCACGUGUCCGGCUCCUAAGGUUUGACCUCCAGGCGCCGCCUUCACGGUUUUCCCUUUCCUCCUUGGCCAGGGUCCUUCUGGGACGACGCCUCGGUGCUAUGCACCUGUUUGGAGGAAGGGGCCUUUGGGGGCGUCCCGCUCUCCAUAGCAUUUGAGCUCAGCAAGUCCUCUGAUGAGGAUUGUUUGGUACGGGACCUCGCCGGACUACAAAAAAUAUGGCUUAGGUUGAAAUACUAUGCCAUGAUAAGUCCGGACGCCUAAAAAGUACUCGGACUUUAUAUACUUACGAGUUCACCAGGGGCUGGGCCCUGGGAUCCCAUGCCGGGCCGCUGUCGGCGGCGGCAGUGGACUCCUCCGGAAGAGGAGCCUUUCCCCUUUUGGGCAGCUCGGCCUCCAAGUGUACGGAGGCCGUCCUCUUCCUUCUCCCCCCCGCAGGGGAUUCAUCUUCCUCCUCCUCCUCGUCCUCUUCGGAGGCGGAAUGGGCAUCGGAGCCUUCGGAUAUUGUGUCCGAGGUGCCACGGCGACGAAGGCCACCCCGGGUCUUUUUGGCCUCCUUCUCGGCCGUCUUCGUCGGCACCUUGUAAGGCGUCGGGGCCAGCAUCUUCGUCAGAAGUGGGAUGGCCGGUUCUUCGGGCAGCGGGGCCGGACAAUGGAUCCGCUCCGCCUUCUUCGUCCAGCCCUGGGGGAGUUGUAUAAAAUACGUUAAGUGCUUCCUUUGGGUUACGCGGAUAGAAAAGUUUGAUAACUCACCGAACUUGCAGGGCGGGACAGUUGGUACCCGUGGUCCUCGGCGGAGUCCGGCCACGAUUUGCUGGACUUGAAAAGCACCUUCCAGAUGUCCUUGUGCGAAGAGCCAAAGAGCUCUCGCAGGGUUUGGUGCCUGGCCGGAUCAAAUUCCCAUAGAUUGCAAGUCCGAUGCUGACAAGGCAGGAUCCGGCGAACUAGCAUCACCUGGACCACAUUGACAAGUUCAAUGUUCUUGUCUCCCAUAUCUUUAACGCGCGUCUGGAGCACCGAUAGUUCGUCGGACGAGGACCAGUCCAGGCCUUUCUUGACCCAGGAUGUAAGCCGUAGGGGGGCGCCAGAUCGGAACUCGAGAGAGGCGGCCCACUCUGAGCCGCGUGGCUCAGUGAUAUAAAACCACUGUUGUUGCCACUCCUUGGCAGAAUCAUUAAAGGUUCCCGUUGGCCAUAUAACGUUGGGCAUCUUGCUCACCAUGGCGCCCCCGCACUCGGCGUGCUCGCGGCCCACCACCUUGGGCUUCACAUUAAAAAUCUUCAGCCAUAAACCGAAGUGCGGCGAAAUGCGGAGAAAAGCCUCGCACACGACAAUGAAUGUCGAGAUGUUGAGGAAGGAAUUAGGGGACAGAUCGUGAAGAUCGAUCCCAUAAUAAUACAUGAUGCCGCGGACUAACGGGUGGAGGGGAAACCCUAGCCUGCGGACAAAAUGAGGGAGGAAUACGACCCUCUUGUGGGGUUCCGGAGUAGGGACGAUUUGUCCCGCCGUCGGGAGAUGGUGGCUGAUUUUCUUGGCCAGGUACCCAGCCUCCCGAAGCUUUUUGAUAUCCUUCUCUCGAACGGUAGAGGCCAUCCAUUUGCCUCCUGCUCGGAUCCGGACAUCUUCGGAAGGCCUUUUGUGGGCAGAGAAGAUGAACGCUUGGGCGCUGGAGCUUGAGCGGAGGGGAAUGAAUCGGGAAGAGGCGUGGGUGCAAAAGGGAGUCCUUAUCCCCUUAUAAAGGCAGCAGGGAUUCUGCGCCUCCCCACUUGCCUGGUAAAACCUCUUAUUCCCCAAGCGCCGUAAUUAAUGGCGCGGCUAGGUUACCCACACCUGUAUUGAUGAGAAUCCCGUGAUAAGGGGACACGAUCUCUGCUUCGACAAGACGUGCCAAGGAAACCGCCUCGCAAUACAUGCUGUGGCUGGUUGUGAAAAAGGUUCGAAUAAUGACCGGGCCGUGAUGUGAUGUCAUCAGCAGAUUAGAUUUGUGAAAAUAUUAUUCUCUCUACGGUAGUAUGUGGAAUUUCUUUUGCAGAGCCGGACACUAUCCUUGUGUUCAAAAUCUUCUACGGAGUAUUCGGAGGAGGAACCCGCCUUGCAAUGUCGAAGACAAUCUGCGCGCCGGACUCAUCGUCAUUGAAGCCUGGUUCAGGGGCUACUGACGGAGUCCUGGAUUAGGGGGUCCUCGGACAGCCGGACUAUAUCCUUUGGCCGGACUGUUGGACUAUGAAGAUAAAAGAUUGAAGACUUCGUCCCGUGUCCGGAUGGGACUCUCCUUGGCGUGGAAGGCAAGCUUGGCAAUACGGAUAUGUAGAUCUCCUCCCUUGUAACCGACUCUGUGUAACCCUAGCCCCCUCCGGUGUCUAUAUAAACCGGAGGGUUUAGUCCGUAGGACAACAACAAUCAUACCAUAGGCUAGCUUCUAGGGUUUAGCCUCUACGAUCUCGUGGUAGAUCAACUCUUGUAAUACUCAUAUCAUCAAGAUCAAUCAAGCAGGAAGUAGGGUAUUACCUCCAUCGAGAGGGCCCGAACCUGGGUAAACAUUGUGUCCCCCGCCUCCUGUUACCAUCCGCCUUAGACGCACAGUUCGGGACCCCCUACCCGAGAUCCGCCGGUUUUGACACCGACACUCUCCACUUCUUGAGGCGGUUGUACACCUAGGUGGCAGUCACCUCCUGGCCACAGAACUCUAACACCUCCUUGGCAACGGUGCUCAAGUGCACCUCCUUGAAGCCCUUAUCAGUCCUAACCCCAGUAAAGAUGAGCUCACAUCUUGUUCAGCAUGAACGUGGAUAUGAACGGCUGUCACUUCAUGUUGUCGCCCCUACCAUCACUUGUAGAAAACGGGCCUUUACUCUCGGUUCUAGAGGGCCUUUAGAACCGGGACUAAAGGGUGUGGACUAAAGCCCAAAACCUUUAGUCCCGGUUUGUAAAGGAGCUCCACGCGGCCGGUUUCUAGAGCUCCACCUUUAGUCCCGGUUGGCAACCGGGACUAAAGGAAUUUUUUUGAAAUUUGGUUUUUCUGAUUUUUUUUGAGAAAAAAAUUCUAAUUUUUUUUGAAUUUGUUUUUUGAAUUUUUUCCCGAUUUUCAAAUUUCUGAAUUAUUUGACAAUUUAACCUCUAAUCAGCCCUCAUCACUGCUCAAGUAUGUACCACUCAUUCCAAAUCGUCUAACUUCCCGGCUGGUCACCCAUCCUCUCACUACCCCAGCCUAAGCAUGCUUAACUUCCGAGUUCUAUUCUCCCUAGUUUCCAAGUCUGCACUUGCUGUUUUCCUGACAAUAGUAAGCUGUUAAUCCUAUUAACCCUUAGGAGUUGAACUUGAGCAUGAAGCACCGUUUGAGAUUGUAAGAAACAAUAAUUAAUUAGUAACACUAAUAUUUCUUGAAUAAGUAGUUUGACAACAGUUUGACAAAAAAUUCAAAAAAACUUAAAUUUGAGGAUAAACUUUUUUCCUUUCAGAAUUUGAGGAUUCUAAAAAAUUUCAAAAUGGCCUAUUGCCGUCGAAAUCGGAACCGGAUUUUCGUGCUGAACAUUUUGAUAUAUUAUACGUUUUUUUCCGACAUCGUAUGUAAAAGUUAUAGCCGUUUUACUUUUUCAUAACAUUUUUUUGCAAAACAUGUCGAAAUUUAUGCUUUUUAAUUUUCCUGACUAGUAGAUGUAGUAACAUAACUACAUCUCGAANNNNNNNNNNNNNNNNNNNNNNNNNNNNNNNNNNNNNNNNNNNNNNNNNNNNNNNNNNNNNNNNNNNNNNNNNNNNNNNNNNNNNNNNNNNNNNNNNNNNNNNNNNNNNNNNNNNNNNNNNNNNNNNNNNNNNNNNNNNNNNNNNNNNNNNNNNNNNNNNNNNNNNNNNNNNNNNNNNNNNNNNNNNNNNNNNNNNNNNNNNNNNNNNNNNNNNNNNNNNNGGGGGUAGAGUUUGAUGGUGUCCAACAGAAGCAUACUACAACAUGGUGUCCAUACAAUCCUACCGUCGACUACAUCUUCUAGCACCGUCCCAGCCAGAGUCACAACUAAGGUUAACCAAGCUAGAGUCACGUUCUAUUAAAGUGGCAAAAAGAAUUACUUUUAAUAUAGCAAAACUAAUUCUAUCAACUAUUAUUAAAGGCUAAACAACUAUUAAUACAAAACUUUAGCAAAAUUAAUAUUAAUUAAUUAUAAAAAUUUAUCUACUAUUGUCUAACAGAAGCAUACUACAACAUGUUAAAAUCUAUAGAAAGAACUAACUAAAAAUAAUUGAAAACAACAAUUAAAGGACUAAAACAACUAUAUAAGCAAAACAAUAUUGUUUUAAUUAAAAUCAUAAUAUAAAUUAUUCUAAAAAUAACCAAAUAAAUCUUACUGUGACAACAAUCUAACAUGUGACUACGAGCAAAAAGAAUUAAAUUAAAAACUAUUUUUAAACUCAAAUUAUUCACAAUCUAGGGUUUGAAGCAAAUUUGAACAAAUUCACAUUUGAAUCAUUCAAAUUUGAAAACUAAUGGCACAAACAGAAAGUGGACAAAAUUUUGAAUCUGAUGCAAAAAGAAUCACUAAAAAACAUCAAAUAUCCUAAAAGAUAUAAGCAAUUUAAAACAGAAACUAGACACAAAAAACAAAUGAAAAAACAAAUUUCAAAACCCCUUUAGUCCCGGUUCGUGGCUCGAACCGGGACUAAGGGCCUGUUCGGUAGCUCGCCAGCUCCCAGCUUCCACGAAUCCGCGAGGGAAGCUGGCCCGAACGGCCCAGCUCCAGGAAGCUGGCUUCCCAGAUCGAAGCAGCAUCCACGUACAAAAACUUGGAGCCGCAGUUUUGUCGAUCCCAGAAGCUGGAUUCCUAGAGUUGGCGUUAUUUACGAUCAGAUGCCAACGCGAAGUGCCUCACGUACCGGUUCGUUAUGUUUCCCUCCGAUCUGGGCCAAGCCCAUCCUCUCUCCUCCUGUUUCACACCGAUCCUACUUGUUGAGCCGACUGGACUCCAGCCCGCCCAGGCAGGCCGGCCUGCUAGCGCGACGAGAAGCCGAAGUGAUCGAGCCAAACACUUUUCCAUCGAUCCCGAUUCGUGGAAGAAGCUGGCGAUCGAAAACAGAAGCUGGAUUUGAGGAUUUCCUGUAGCCAGGGAGUUGCCGAACAGGCCUUAAAGAUCUAAUCUUUAGUCCCGGUUGGAGCCACGAACAGGGACUAAAGGUCCCAUUUGAACCGGGACUAAUGCUUGCCCAGCGCCCUAGCCGCUCGAACCGGGACUAAUGCUCACAUUAGUCCCGAUUCGUAAUGCAACCGGGACUAAUGUGUAGAUUGAGCUUGGACCAAAGCCCUGUUUUCUACUAGUGCAUCCUUCUUUGCCUUUGUGGCUCCCGUCAGCGCAGCGGCAGUAGGAGCAACAGUUGGAUCAACGAGCACAACUGCCACAAAAGAGAACCACCGACUGAUACCUCGAACACCUCUGAAUCAGGAGGCAUAUGCGACUCGAGGGGGCUGGGAGUCCUCGACAUAGGACACAACGUACUGGCUGUCAGACAUGACAAGUGACUGACUAAGAUCUUGGGUCUGCGUGGUCAUGUACUACAAUCGUAGUAUGCAUUGACAGUAAGCAUAACACCCAAAGUAUUGGACAAUCUAUGAAAGGAGGAUCAUACAUCACAACUAGCUAUGAAUCUAUUGUGUUCAUCACUAUCACACUACUCUAGCAUGCUACAAAUCCACCACCAAUAUAUACCACAACAUCACAAUCUACCAUCUGCUCACAGGUCUGCGCAUGAAUCAACCCUACCACAUGCUUGCACAUAAAACCCUACAACCACAUGCUCUCAGAUCUAGCUACAACGAACAGGGAGAAGAGGGUGAUUGAACUCACAGAGGUCAUGGCUGCAGCUCGAGGGGGAAGCGGUAACGGUCGAAAAGUUGAGGAUAGGGGUCGCCCCCGUCAUGGACCGCCCGCCGGUGAAGGAGCACCGCUUACCUACUUGUCGGUGCCGAUGCGCGUCGGUGGGAAAGCUCGAAAGGGGGGAGAAUGGUGGUGGGACUUUGGGCGGUGAGAGGAGGGGGCUAAAUAGGGGUGACCGAAUCGACGGGAGGUGAGCCGAAAUCCUCCCGCCGAUUUUACGGAGACGCGCGAGAGCUCGCAACAUCUCCAUGGUCGCACGAGCCAGCACGCCUCGUUCCCCUGCCCUGCUUCGGCCGAGCCUGGCUUUCCAGAAACUGUCGAUUCGGGCGUAGCUGUUGGGCCUGUUUAGGAGGUGCUUUAAAUUUCAUGCGAUGCACGCCGAACAGUAUAUGCGGGCUACCAAACAGGCCGGACACUUUCCGCGCGGGCCUGGUUUGACCAAAUGCAGGCAACCAAACACGGCCCAAAUGAACGGACAACGAUAAAAAACCUGAAAAAAGCACCAAUAUUCAAUUUAGGACUUGAAAUCUGAUCGGGUGAUUCUUUUUUUUAUUAAGAGGAACUGAUUGGGGGGUGCUAUUAGUUUUCGUAAACUUCCAACCAUAGGCCUCUUGUGUCCUUUGGUGAGUUGUGCGGGUGAAUGGCACGUGGCAACCUUCUCAUCAAAAAGGAAAAAUUAUAAGGCCAGAUUCGCACCCACAUUAGACUCCAGUCCCCAGUCCGCCGCCCCGUCACCGGAGUUCCGCCCGCCGCCCGCCGCCCGCCGCCCGCCGCGCCCGCAUUUUCCUCACCGCCAGUAUGUAUCCGCCUCCCGGCUUCUUCUGCAGUACGGGCCCUAACGCCGGCUACACCAUGUCCGACACUGAACGCGGUAAAUCCCCUCCGCCCCCAUCCCCAUCGAACCCUAAGCCCAGAUGUGAUUUGCUUGCUCUGUUCUUGUGCAGAUUUUAGUAUGCAGUUAGCUCAUACACCAGUUUUGGGAUAUUUCAAGGGUUCAAUUAGUGCUAGUUCGUCCUGUAAAGGUUCAUGCUCUUUGGGGGCAGUUCAUAGUGGAACCUGUUAUUCAUUAAUUUUCCAAUCUGAAACAGCAGCGGACAUCUUUGGGAGCUGCAUAUUAGCCAUCUAAUUUUCGCAACCUGAAUAGCUUUUGUGAAGUUGUAAUUUUUGGCCUCUUACUAUAUCUUCUUGUGAAUCACAUAUUGUUUCUACACAUUUAUGUUUGUUAAAUGGACAACUGUGUGUGAUUAUUAACCCCUCUAUGUGUACUCCUACCUUGGCAUAGAUAUGGCGGCACUUUUUACAAACUACAAUCGUGUUCUCAAGGCGGCUCGGGACGCCCACCCGCACCCUGACGCUCUGGGACGCCUCGAGCGGGUGCUGCUGGGCGCCGUGCUGCGUUGUCUCUCCGAUGACACGGAUUCGUUCAGAAGGAGGAUGGACGACUUCCUUGUCAAAUUCAGCAACUUCAACAGGAAGAUGGACGACAUCAGCGCGCGCCUCCAGGCCACGCGCAGCCCUAAAGGCCGCCGCCGCGGCAUCUCCCCCGCUGCCCAGCUCGCCGGCCUUUAUGGAAAUGAUCUCUUCCGCGCGCUGAUGGGCGUGCAGCUGCCCGUGGCCACACCUGCGGAGGUCUGCCUGGAGGUCGCCCUCGCUGCACAGCGCCUCAUCGUGCAUGACCAGCUCGACUUUUUCAUCAACCUCUGUGAGAAGACAGUCUUCGGGGCCGACAUUACGACGAUCAGGGAGUACAACAUCAUGGCCUUCAAGGACCACAGGAAAACCUUGGAGAAGUUCGUUCAAGAGCACAUUGACCUCGCCGAAGCCGCUGCCACUUCACGUCCACCUACCGGACAAGCAGAGUAAAAGCUCGAUUGCCAUUAUUAACCUAGCUAGCUGCAAAGACGAAGGAGGGUUGUUGAUGUAUCCUAUUUGGCUUCCUUAUGUAGUUUGCUGCAUCAUCGUUGUCGAGCCAAGAACAACUACUUAUGUAUGCAUUAGUGUAUUACGCUACUUGUCAGCGAUCGAGUCUGUCUUAACUCUUGAGUAGUAGUAAUAGUUGCUAUCAAGCUGUGCCUGUGCGCUUGCUCGCUAUAACUAAUUUUGUACAACGUAAUUUGUUUGGCACCAAGUUCUGUUAGUAAUAAUAUGAAUGUUACUUUUGUCGUUCUGUAUUACAUGCCUUUUAUUUUAAUUCAUGCACCAUGCAUCUAUAUAUUUUGCCCGUCCUUUAGUUUGAUGAAGAUGCAUACAAAUGUUCACAAGCUGACAUGAACAAAUUGACAUUGAUUAACAAAUGUCUUGAGUGUUUGUUUCACAAGUGUUUCAUCUUCCAAGCCUGCAAGCAAGCCUGCUAACCAUGGUUUCAAAUGAAGCUGAAGAUUAUGAUUAACAAACACAUGCCAGAUGGCGUAAUUGUCCUUGAGUAUUUUCAGUCUGCCGACUGCCUAAUGCAAAGUUGUUUGGAUUCAGGGGUGUCCAGUUGUUCAGUAAUGUUUAAACGUUGAUGAUUUCCAUUUUAAGAAUAAAAUCUUCCAUACACUGGUAAGUACUAAUUUAUCUUUUCUUUUGUGAUUUAUGUACUACUUGCUUAUUUCUUAUCCCAAAGUCCCGAUGGCCCUUUAAUAGCUUCUCUCAAAAUUUCAUCAUUCUUUUCCCCCUAAUAACCUGGCUAUGGAACUAUUGGCAUCUAAAUGAACAGUUGCAUCAAAUAUUUAUUCACUGAAUGCAAUGUAUAUCUACGAGAAAAACAACUGCGGCUACUGGCGUUGCUGCUUGAUUGCUUGCAAGAUUAUAGUGCAAUACACAGCAAUUUUCCUUCUCCAUUUCUUAUAUCUACCUAUCUACACUAUCCAGGUAAACUACAGAAAACAGAGGACAAGAACAUGCUCUGCAUGCAUGUUCUUCAGGAGCUACAAACAGCCAAUUUGCUCCAACAGUUAGAAUUGUGCAACCAGUGUAGUGACAAGAAGUCACCAUGGAGCUCAGCAGCGCGUUCUCGACUUCGAAGUGGCAUUUCUCCUGUGCAAGCACAUGACAUACUCCAUCACAAGGCAGUGUGAUCUUGCCAUCGCUUGCGAAGCCCAACGCCUCCUGGGACAUCCUCAGGAGCUCGCUGAAGAUCGUCGUGCUGAGGUACACCAAUGCUACCUCAAAGCGCAUCCCAUUGGCUGUGUACAUGACACAGUGGCCCUUGACUGCUACAGAGAUGCAGCACAUCUCAUCUUCUUUGGCUGUUGUCAGCCUCUUCCUCUUAAAUGCUGCCAUCCUCUGCCACUUCUUUGCAAAUUGAGCAAGUCGCUUGGCGCUGACCAUGGUUGUUUCCGGCUCUUGUUUUUCAGCUGGAAACCAGAGAAGUGAGGUAUGGAUGCUGCAAUGCUUAGUUGGUGGUGUAUGAGCUGAUGGUGUUGAGCAUAGCCGUUCACUGAAUUUUUUUCCGAGAGGAAGGACAUGGUGAGGGUGGAGUGUAGUUGUCAUUACAAAAGAUGAUAAGAGACAUGGUCAUGGCCAUGGGAUCAGCACAUGCAGUGUUGUAGUAUGAUUCAUUUGGAUUAGAUUGUGAUGGGGUCAAAUGUUUGGAACAUGCUGGAUCCAAUAGCAGUGACAUUAAACCAUUGGUUUGCUCUCAUAUCAUUUGUCAGUUUGGCAAGCUGGUGAAGACAAGGCCAUGAUCUAUUCUGUGAUUUGGAUAUGGAUGGAUCGGGUUGAGAUAUUAUCACUGUCAAUGAUCGGUCGCCUCUUAACUUUCGGCCUCAGAUUGGUUGUUGAUCGGUCAGAUGCGUUCGUCUGCCUGAAUCCAUUUGCUCAACAGAUGUCGCUGUUUUUUCAGCUUGUGAUCUGAUCCAUCCAUUUCACUCUUUUUCCCCCAUUUUGACUUCUAAGUCAGAAAGAAAGAAAUACAAACUCUGUUCUGAAAGGUAUAUUUCACUACUUAAUUCUUCACAAAACUGAGAUUUUUAUCUAGGAUUAUUCAAGUGUUUGGUAACUACUAACUAGUUCUCAGUUGCUCAAUCUGCAGGUGUCCAUUAGUUAUUCAGCAGUUUAAUGGAAGUUUUCUUUCAUCUAAUUCUAGGCAGGUAACAUUUGUUAAACUCAUGUGGUAUGCAUACUUGAAUCUAUACCCUCUGUUUUCGUGUUCAAUGAUAGGCAAAGCUCCUAUGUCAUUCUUCAAGGAAAACAUGUGCAGGACUCAUUAGUUUUAUGGUUUCUAAAAUAUGAGCGCAUAUUGGUUGUAGUUUUAAAGUGUAUGCCUUGACUCGGUUUGUUAAAACACAAAUAUAGCUGUGUUACUGAAGCUUUGCCAGUUACGUACUGAGUCUGAGACAAACAGUUGAACACUUAGCCUGAUCAGAAAGCUUGCAAAUUUCAUGAAAUUAGUUUUCCAUUUCCAAUCUACUAGCAUCAUAUUUACAUCUUCUGUUGAGCAAAAAUGGUGCCUAGGAUAAGGAUCCUAGCUACCUGCCAUUCUUCAGAAGCUAACAAACAGCUACAUACUGGCUAAGCCCUAUGCAUGGCGCCGCCACACUGCCGUCAAAACAGCACGGCCUCGCGAUGGAGCUCAGGAACGCCAUCACUACUUCGGCGGAGGCAUCUCUCCGGAGCAAGCGCAUGGCGUACUCCAUGACCACAGCGUCACAGGGCAGCGUGAUCCGGCCAUCGUUGCUGCCUGAGAAUCCAAACUCCUCCUGAGACAUCCUCAGGAGCUCGCUGAAGACUGUCGUGCUGAGGAAUGCCAGUGGCACCUCGAACCGGCUCCCAUCAGCGGUGUAUACCGUGCAGUGUCCCUUCACUGCUACUGGGGUCAUCGGCCGGCACUCCUCGGCUGCUCUUUUUGCCAUUGCAUUCUGGGUGAUCCUCUUCCUCCCCAUGGCCGCCAUUCUCUGCCACUUGUUUGCUAGUUGGGCAAGCCUCUUGGCACUGACCAUGGCUGAUUCUCCUUGUUUCUUGGCUAAUAGUUCAGAGAAACUUUUGUAACAGGUGCUGUAGUGGUUGGUUUGUGGAUGAAGUGAUAAUGAGAUGGUGGUGGUAAGCUGAUAGAUUUAUAGGUGAGAGGGGAGAGAAGCAUCAUGAUGUGCCGUUGUAGCUAUCAAUAUCAUGACAAGUUGGCAAGGGACAGAGACAUGAUGAACUCGGAACAUGCAAUGCUGCAAGAGUGCAGGGGGCGAGCAAUGUGAUCUUGAUUUGAUUCCUCUAGGGACAUGAGUUUGCCACUUGUUGGAAACUAAUUGCUGGCAUACUGACUUGUUUCAAGUAGUGGCCAAGUAUAGACUUACAUGACCUGGAAGUGGGCCCAUUUCCGUGUGUGAUUGCGCAAUGAGAUACCAAUUGAUCUUCUGGGUGGUAAUGAUAUCCUAAAUUCCUAAUAAUAAUUUUAAGUAUAUAGGGCGGCCCUUGAGAUGGAGACAUGCAAUUGUUGAUGCUUCCAGCAAUCUAUUCUUUCUGAACAUCGAGUCGAAAGCUUGUGCUGGUCUAGCACAUGGUCUGUUUGAUUUUGGCUUCGGCAUCUCACAUGGUGACUCCUGCUUCUUGCAUUUCUCGUCUCUUGGACACAUGAACACAUGUACAUCUCGCAUGGUGAUUUCUGCUUCUUGCAUUUUGCCUGUGAAAAAGUGGCAUGUCACAUUUUCAAGCUGGCGCUGAUGUCUCUGAUGUGUGUUGUGUUGACUUGUAGUAUUUGAAAUGCGAUCUUCUCAGUUAAUAUUUAAUUUUCUUGGACAUGACCAUAUGGCCCAGAAAAUAAGAAUGAUUAAUUCCUUUUUUUUGCAAGGGAAAAGGAGUUUUAUUCCAUAUUGAGAGAGUUACAGUCGAGAGGUAAAAGAUCCUCAAUACAUGGUGGUCCUACAUGCAUCCACACAGCCGUGGUACACUCUAUACGACUAUAAUUUGCCAAACGAUCGGCAACUCUGUUUUGAUCCCUGUUCAACUUCUGAGGAAUAAACUCCCUAUGUCUCAUCAACUCCUUAAUUUCAGCCAGAAGAUGACCAUAGGCAGAACGAAGAAGUCCGUUCCCUGAUAGACAUAACAACGCCUCACUUGAGUCAGAUUGAACGAUGACCGGAAGAGUGGAAUGUUGUAUAGCUAGCGCCAUCCCUUGCAUGAUUGCAUGAAUCUCAGCUUCCAUGAUUGCAUGAAUCUCAGCUUCCAGAGAAUCGUUGCAAUUGAAAAUAACGAUAUGUUGCAAAAAUAAGUGAACCGUCAUGUCGUCUAAGAAUCAUUCCUGCCGCCGCCGCGCCAGAUUCCACUGAGAAAGAACCAUCAACUGAUAAAGCAACAUACUCAGUAGACGGAGGAGGCCAAGGUUUAGGACUAGGGGCAGGUCUCACUUCAGGCAAAGCCCAAUCAGCAACCGGCAUUUUACCUUUAAUUAUUUCCUCUGUACUGAACCUUUUAGCAUCUCGAAUAGACUUCAUAUAACUGUCCAAAAAAUCAACCGUAGUUGCCAACGGGGGAACCUCUUUAUCAUGAGUAAGAUCAUUACGUAAUUGUCAAAUACGCCAAAUAAGCAUAAUCAUACAAUCACGCUCUGCAUCGGUACAAUUAAGCAGCACGUUCAGUAACCAUUCUUUGCCACUAUUAAUAAGUAGCUGGUCCUGGGGGAGCAACCAGACCUUCCUCAUGGCCUCCCAGAUUGCACGUGCAUGGCUGCACACAAUCAAAGCAUGGUAGCUAUCCUCAUCAACAAUACCACAAAUUGGGCACGUACUGCGCGUCGCUAGGUGCCUAUAUUGCAUGCACGUAGCAGUAGCAAGUGCUCCUGAAGCCGCUCGGCACGCCGUAUGCUUCAUCCGCAGUGGCACCGAAGAUUGCCAUAUCAGGUUCCAGAUGGGUCGGUUCCCGUCAGGGUUAGCGCUGGACGCCCCUCCGGCGAACUGGUCAUCAUGCACUGUCGUCGCCAAGUGGUACGCACUUCUAACUGAGAACUGACCAUUCUUCUCCGGAUGCCAGGCAAAGAAAUCUUGACGUUGUCUCGAUGAGGUAUGAAUUUUGAGGAUUUCACGUACGUCCAUCGGCCAGAAGAGGUCGUUCAAUCGUUGCACCAUUCAUGCACAAUUCUCAUCAACAAAAUCAGACACCCGAUUGAAUCGACAAUUCCUUUUAGGUGUAGCGGGUCGGAAAUUAUGGCCACGGGGAAUCCAAGGGUCCCUCCAUGUCCGUAUCAAAGAACCAUCUCCAACCCGCCAAAUGAUCCCUUUUUUAACCAGCUUUAGACCAUGUUCAAUACCCUUCCAUACAGUUGAAGGAUUUGCAGUAAAAACUGCAUCCAACAGGUUCUCAUUGGGGUAGUACUUCGCACGUAAUAAGCGAGCACACAAACUGUCUGGAACAUUAAGUAGUCGCCAGGCCUGCUUUGCAAGCAAUGCUUGAUUAAAUGCAUGCAUGUCACGGAAACCCAUACCACCUUUGGACUUUGGGAGUCUCAUUUUAUCCCAACUCAACCAAGCCAUCUUUCUUUUAUAGGUGUCAAGCUUUAACAGCUCGCUAGGUGCUCUCCGACUAUUUUCCAACAAAACAAAAGUUUAUAGAUGGCCAUCUCAAAUUUCAACCAAGAACUGUGGUGGUGUUUCAACUAAAAUGCUCGCGAAUUUGGAAAAACCGUAAAAGGGAAAGCCAAAAAAGGAGAAAGAAAAAUGUGAAAAAGGAAAAGGGAAAUUUAAAAAAGAAAAUAAAAAACGAAAAUUAGAAGAGAAAGGAAAAAAAGAAAAUGAAGAAGAGAAAAACCGAAAGAAAUAACAAGAAAAAAGAGAGGAAAAACCGGUUUGGGAACCAUGCUGAAUAGGAGAACCAUGCGGCUCGUGCGGUCCGUGUCGUGCCAGCACGUUUAACCAGCGGUUUUUUCUUUUCUUUUUCGAGGGCUGUUUAACCAGCGGCUCUGCCUGGGCCUGGGAGGCCAGCACGAGUCUCCAGUCCGCCUACCCCCGCGUCAUCGGAGUGCCGGCCGCCGCCGCUCGUCGCGCCCGCAUUUUGCCUCACCGCCGGUAUGUAUCCGCCUCUCUGCAGUACCCGCCCUAACGGCGACUGCGCCAACUACGCAACUCACCGCCGGACAUCCCCUCCGCCCCCAUCCCCACUGAACCCUAAGCCCAGAUGUGAUUUUCUUGAUCUGUUCUUGUGCAGCUUUCAGGCAAAAAAUUUAGUAUUCCUAGUAUGCAAUCAACUCAAUUUACACCAGUUUUGGGAUAUUUUCAAGGGUUCAGUUAAUGCUGGUUCGUCCUGUAAGGUUCAUGUCUUUGGCCCAGUUCAUAGUGAAACCUGUUAAUCAUUAUUUUCCAAUCUAAAACAGCAGCUGACCAAUUUGGGAGUCGGCUAUUAGCCAUCUACUACCAUCAAUUUUCGCAACCUAAAUAGCUCUUCUCAAGUUUUAACUUUGGCCUCUUACGAGAUAUAUAUAUAUAUUCAUGCCUGAAACUGAAAUAACAAUAUGUCUUCUUGUGAAUCAUUGUUUCUGCAUUGAUGUUUGUUAAAUGGAGAACCGUGUGUGAUUGUUAACCCCUCUAUAUGACUAUAUCCAAUCCUACCUUUGCAGCAAGACUGAGUGAGGGUGAUCGCUCAUGUCAACAGUGUGGCCGGCCAUUGACAUGGAGGUGAUAGAGGCGAUUAUUGCGAGAGCGAAACCUCUUCUGAAGGUGUCCAUGGACUCCCACGCACAGCCCGAUGCUCUGGAACGCAUCAGUCGGUUGCUGGGCGGUGCCGCAGUAAAUUGCAUCUUCGACGCCACCUUUGCCGAUCGGUUCAAAGGGACGUUGGACGACUUGGUUGACAAAUUGGAGCAUGACACUAGGAAGGUGGACAACCUCACUGCUCACCUCCAGGCCAUGCGCCGCCCUAAAGACCACUGCAAAGGCAGCCGCCGCGGUGUCUCCCCUGCUGGCCAGCUCGCAGGCCUCCAUGGAAAUGAUCUCUUCCGCACGCUGAUGACCCUGCAGCUGCCCGCGACCGCACCUGCGGAGUUCUAUCUUGAGGUUGCUCUUGCCGCGCAGAGCCUCAUCGUGCAUGACCAGUUUGACAUUUCCAUGCACGUCUGUGAGAGGAUCGUCUUCGGGGCCAACUCUACGGUGACCAAAGAGUACAACUUCAUGGCCUUCAAGGACCACAGGAAUACCUUGGAGAAGUAUGUUCGUGAGCACAUUGACCUCGCCGCUGCUGCUGCCAAUUCACGUCGCCCCACUGGCCUAGCAAAGUAAAAGCUCGAUUGCCAUAAUUAAGCUAGCUAGCUAGCUGCAGGUAAGAAAAAGGAGGGUCAUAGAUGGAUCCUUAGUUGGCUUCCUUAUGUACUCCCUCCAUCCCAAAAUAUAAGAGCGUUUUUGACACUAGAACACUCUUAUAUUAUGGGACAAGUGCGACUACUUAUGUAUGUAUUAUGCUACUUAUCAGCGAUCAAAUUUGGUAAUAGCUGCUAAACUGCACCCUGUGCACCUGGCCUGCUAUAACUAAUUUCGUACAAUUUAAUUUGUAUGGCACCAAGUUCUGUUAUUAAUAAUCUAAAUGUUACUUUUGUCAUAUUGUAUUACAAAGCUUCUAUUUUAAUUCAUGCACCAUGCAUCUAUAUAUUUUGCCUGCCCUUUAUUUCUGAUGAUGGUGCAGUGAUACAUGCAGAUGUUCACAUGUUGACAUGAACAAAUUGACGUUGAUUGACGAAAGUCUUGAGUGUUUGUUUCACAAGUGUUUGAUCUUCCAAGCCUGCUAACCAUGGUUUCAAAUAGUAUAGGUGACAAUUACGAAUAGCAAACACAUGCCAAAUCUGUGCUGGCACAAUUGUCAUUGAGUAUUUUCAGGCUGCCCACUGCCGUAUGCAAAGUUGUAUAGAUUCAGGGGUGUUCAGUUCUUCAGUAACAUUUAAACUUUGAUGAUUUCUAUUUUAAGAACAAAUCUUCCUUGUACUGUAAGUACUAUUUUCUCUUUUAUUUUGUGAUUUAUAUGCUACUUGAUUAUGCCUUAUCCCAAGUUCCCGAUGGCCCUUUGAAAGUUUAUCUGAAAGGUUCAUCAUUGAAAAUGGCUCCUGUAUGAUUGUAUCACCUGGUCAUGUCACUUAUUCAUUCUAUUUUCCCCUAAUAACCUGGCUUAGAUGAUAGGUGUAUUAAAACUUGUGUAUUUUCCAUUCAGCUUUAUGAAAGCAGUAUUGAUAAAUCGACAUCUAAAUGAACAGGUGCAGCAAUUAUUUAUUCACUGUAUACAAUGAAUAUGUUCCCGGUUGAUUGCUUUCAAGAUUGCAGUGCAUUACUCAACUAUCAAAGUAAACUAUUGAAAACAGAGGACAAGAACAAGCUCUGCAUGCAUGUUCUUCAGGAGCUACAAAUAGCAAGUUUGCUUGUUGGCUCCAACAGUUGGCAUUGUGCAACCAAUGUGGUGACAAGAUGUCACCAUAGAGCUCAGCGACGCGUUCUCGACCUCGGCAGAGGCAUUUCUCCUGAGCAAGCAUAUGACAUACUCCAUCACUUCGGCAACACAAGGCAGUGUGAUCUUGCCAUGGCUUGAGAAGCCAAACUCUUCCUGGGACAUCGUCAGGAACUCACUGAAGGUCGUCGUUCUGAGGUACACCAAUGGUACCUCGAAGCGCCUCCCAUCAGUUGUGUACAUGACAGAGUGGCCCUUGACUUCUACAGAGAUGCAGCACUUCUCAUCUUCUUUGGUUGUUGCUGUCGUCAGCUUAUUCCUCUUAAGUGCAGCCAUCCUCUGCCACUUCUUUGCCAACUGAGCAAGUCACGUGGUGCUGAUCAUGGUUGGUUGAUUACGGGUCUUAUUUUUCAGCUGGAAAUUCAGAAAAGUGAGCUAUGCCUGAUGUAAUGCUUAGUUGGUGGUGUAUGAGCUGAUGGUGUCAAUCAUAGUCGUUUGCUGAAUUUAUAGCCCAGAGGAAAGACAUUGUGGCUGUGAAGUAGUUGUCAUCAGAAAAGAUAACAGGGGAAAAGACCAUGGGAUCAACACAUGCAAUGUUGUAGUAUGAUUAAUUUGGAUUAGAUUGUGCUGGGCCAAAUGUUUGGAGCAUCAAAGCAUAGGUUUGCUCUCAUAUCAUCUGUCAGUGUAGCAAGCUGGUGAGGGAUAAGGCCAUUUUCUGUUCUGUGAUUCAGAUUAUGGAAGGAUUACUUUUAGAUAUCAUCAGUGGCAAUGAUCAUGCUUUUCUCUGAAGGUCUGAACUUGAUGUCUGGUUGAAAAAAAACGUAGGACUAAAUGAUCAGGAAUUCGUUCAUGGUCGUGACUGGUUGCUGCUAAACUUUCAGUCUCAGAUUGGUUGUUGAUCAAUCAGAUGUUGUACCUCUGCCUGAAUCAACUUGCUUGACCAACUUCGUUCUUUCUUCAGUUCAUGGUCUUGUCUGUCAUGACCAGUCUCCAGUCCAGCGUCUCAUGUGGUUUGCAUUUCACUGUUGCUUCCCCCAUUUUCACACAGGUCAGAAAAAAAAAAGGAUACUCUGUUUUGAGAGGUAUAUUUCAUAACUUUAAUUUUCAUAUAAUUGCUAAAUGCGCAGGUGUCCAUUAAUUAUUCAGCUGAGGAUGCAGUUUAAUGGAAGUUUUC
rnacentral:lncRNA from 1 species